GGAAGCUCUUAUUUUCAUAUUUAUCAUUCCUUACCUUAAUUCUGAAUCUAUUUCUUGGAAGAAAAUAAGUUUCUUGAAAUUUUUCAUCUCGAAUUGUAUUCCCACGAAAGGAAUGGUGAAGUUGAAAACCUAAUCCUUCAAAUCUUUGUUGUGGAGUCGAUAAAUUAUAUGUCCUUUGGUUGAAUCAUAAGGACUUACUUCAAUUUUGACUCUAUCUCCUGGCAGUAUCUGUAUAAAACAAAGUUCCUUUGAGGUAUCAACUAAUGCGAAAGAUAUUAGAGAACUCUCCCCCCUUUUUCGCAAAUAAGAAGUUUCGAAUUCAAUUUGCAUAUUAUAAAGGAUUACCAGAUAUAACACAAAAUUUCUCUACCUAUUCCUUCUAGUCGAGCCUCUCGGUCUGUCAUUAUACCUCGAGAAGUAGAAAGAAUUACAAUCCCCAUUCCACCUAAAAUUCGCGGAAUUCGUUGAUAAUUAGAAUAGAUUUGUAGACCAGGUCGACUGAUUGGUGCUCACAUUGGACCAAAUGAAAUCCCCCUCUUUUGCUGCUUAUAACACAUAAGAGUUGGUAAAAAAGUCAUUUCUCUCACGAAACUGCGAACUCUCUCUACCUAAUCGGGAAUAAUAAUCGUAGCAUGUCUAGAAAGUUUAUAAAAAUUGGCCUUAUACUCAGUCACAAACAUACUUCCCUAGGUCAAUAUCUCAAACCUUAAUCGACUCUAAAUGGAAUAAAGUGAUCUUGGAAAGAACUGGUAAACACAUCCAAAUCAACUAGACGAGACCUAACUAGCCUAGACCUUCCAAAAAGUCCUCCACCACUCUAUUUCAUGUCCACGGAGAUGAAGAGAAACAAAACAAACACCACGAGCAUCCAUCAUUCCCACUGUCUGAAGCAUCUAAUGGAACAAAGUCAAGAACUCAAGAACAUUAUCACUCUGAUCACCUGAAACUUGGGUGGUUUCAUCUUCUGAAACCUCUCAUAACAUUGCUACUCAAUAUUCAUCAGAGUAAUAUCAAGGGCUUUGAACACCCACAACUGGUGUCAGAACCACUCGUGGCUCACCCACCUAAUCCUGAAUACCCAAAGUCUUCGCUCCUAACCCAAUCUGAGAACCCUGUGGUGUACCAGUCGCACUACCCUAAGAAAAAUCUCUAUCACACCAAACAUUCUCUAUAAACUCAACAUAUGCUUACAUGAAGCCUCUCUACCUCUUCCUCUAGCUGGUGCCUCUCCACGGGCAUGACCUCUAGACGAUGCUCUUCAUGAGAACGACCUUAAUCUCUGGUCGUAACUCUACCCUUAGCUGGGAUCUCAACAAAAUGCUCGGGGACUUCCUCCCCUCUACCACUAAAAAAUUAAGCUCUGGUCCUAGAUACCUUCCAAAAUAACACGCAGUAACUUAGCACUAGCGAAGGUAACCACGUUUGAUAAGAAAGGAUGAAAUAAAAGAAGUUUCCUAACAAUCGUUGUAGCCUCUUGAAGAUAAGUAGUGACGUCUUUGUAUCUAUCCUAAAGACUCUACUUAUACUUAACUUGUACACACAUGACACCUAUGAAUCUGGCUCAUAUAUUAUUUAUCACGACCCAAAAAUGGGCGGAAUUACACUUGUCUUUCCCACCAAGACAAGUCAGCCUCAACCUAAUGAACAAUGAAAAAAAUGCAGAAAAUAUACAGCAAGAAAAAGACAAUGGCAGAAAACUUAUUCAUUCUAAAUAAUACCCCAAAACCUGGUUGUCAUGUUUACAAGCCACUGGAUAGAGAAUGUGCGGAAAUUAGAAAUAAGUCAAAGUCUCAAGUCUUUGUUUCUCAAAUAGAAUAAAGUAUAAAGAAAAGGAAUAUGAGGGCUCAAUAAAGUGACAAGCAUCUACCUCUUCGAUUUUUCAAUUAGCCUCAAAAUCAGAAUAAGAAGAAAAAGUUAACCAGGUCCUGGCUUGAAACUUGCAAAGGUGUAUAAGCAAGGGAUAACUACCAUCAACAAGGUACUCAACACGCAACCUAAUAAACCAGGUAUCUAUUUAGAAACCACAUAUCCCAUACACUCCAACUAACAUCCUCAAACUAUAACCUACAAAAAACUUAGCUCAACCUAGAAAUUCAUCAAUAAAUGGCUCAAAAGUCCCAAUAUUCAUAGCUUAAUAGUUACAAUCAAUAAUCAAAUGAAUCAAGUAACUCAAUCUUAAAGUCAAGUAGCUUAGUCAAUCGCAAAAGUACAUAAAUAAAAAUUAACACUCAAUUCACGCACAAGCAUCAAAUUCAUCAAGUCACAUUAAUCAAUCUCUUGUCAGAACUAUUUUUCAUUGGCAUAAUAUCACUAGUCGGAACCAUUUCCCAUCGAGUUUAUAUCAAUUCAUUAUCCAAAACUAUUUUCUAUUGAAUUUGUACCACUUGUUGGAAAUAACCUCGGUAUCACAACACUCGUCAGUAGAGAUCUUGACAUCAAGCACUCACGGCAAAAGUCUCGGCAUUAUAACAUUCACCGGCAAAGACCUCGGCUUCAUAAGUUAUAACAUGUCUCAUCACAUUGUUUAAACUCAAUGCACAUAAUAAUAUCAAACAAUAUGAAAGACAACAAUUCAAAAAAUUCAAGUCCACAGUCAUGCUUCAAAGAUUUCAUCAAUCAAUCAACAAGGGUCACACUAAAGAUUUUCAAAUCAUCAUGUUGAACACAUAGCCUUUUUCAUUGAAGCCAUUUUUAAUCAUUUAGAUGUAUGAAGUGGACAAUUUUACCCUUUAUUUCACCCCUAUUUCUCUCAACCACAAGCAACAAAAGAUGUACACAAAUCCUACUAGAAAACUAGAUUUGGAUAGUCACUUGCCUUAAAUCAAUCAACUAUCACUCCAUGAGUUGACUCUUCCCCUUCCGAUUCACUUUCAAAUCCACACAGAUUAUAAUAAUCAAAUAUUUACGAUAACUCAUUGAAAACAAUCUCACAUCAAUUAUAUAGAGAAAUGGACCAAUCAACUCAAUAUCCAAUUUCAAAAUAAAGGUUUGAAUCCAAAAAAUAAAAUAAUUGAAAAUGGUAUUUAAGGCAUUAGGAACUCUAGAAAACUAUUUCGCAAAAGUGAUCAAAACAACUUCAAAAUUACCAUUCUACUAAUUUCUUGGGUUCUUGCAAGACAAACCCAAAUUUCUCAUUUCAAAAGAUUAAAUAAACAUAUAAAUCUAAAUAUAAUAAUGCGUAAUUGAAUAUUUAGAGAUAAUAAUUGCUACCCAAAAUUUCUUCCUCAAAAAAUUGGUCAAAAUCAUCACAUAAAGCUCCCAAAACUCAAAAAUUGUGAAAUGGGGGCUUAAACCCUGACGUGAAAGGCCAAAAACUCUUUAGUGUAAUGAAAGCAACAAGUGAACCCUCCUAAAAAUGCGGGCGUCGCAAAAUGAAGGUUGUUUAAGCGACAAGACUUUUGCAAAAAGCAAGGACUGUUGCGCUACAAAACACAACAAAAAUUCAAAGCAUCAAAAUGAUCUUUGAGAUUCGUUCGAAACGUCGUACAUACUAGUCACAAAUGCAAAUCAAUUAUACUUGUCGUUUUGGACUCACAAAAACUUUUAAAACACGAGUUCUAGCUCUCUUUUAUCGAUAUCCGUGAAAAUCUCAAGAAACUAACGCACACCUAAAAAGAUUAAAACAAGCUCGGGAUCUCUCAAAAAUCAACCAAGACUUCACCUAAGCUUAAAAUGAUCCUCAAAAUCUAUUAGAUUCUUGGAAUUCCAAGCAUUAGAACUCCAAAUGUUAAUCGAAGUCAGCUCAAAAGCUAAAUUUCACAAUGACUUAGGAACUCAAAUCCUCAAAACAUUCAAAAUCGUAAAUCGACAACUUUAACAGAUCAUAUUUCACAUUGCAGGACUGAAGAAUUAAUUAAAUUUUAUUCUGACUCUCACAACUCCAAAAUACAUUGAAUAUCACUUUCUUAACAACUUAGCCUUCCAAAUUCGAAACUUACAAAAUUCUAAACUUUUAAGUCAAUGUUCAAAACCAACUUUUCAAUUCCCAAUCAUAGAACAUUCAGGGUCAAUAUGAGAGUAUAAAAAGGUAAAUUCAUAAAACUUUUCAAAAAUUACCAACCGGUUUCAUUACAGGAAAAUUGUAAAAUGAAAUUUUAGAAAAUAAAACAAAGACCUACUUGGUGAUGCAGUUAGAAAAAAUAGUAUACAUGAAUUGACCAAUAUUAAAGUUGAUCAUUGACAUUUGAUGCAUCUCCGUACUAGUUAAAAUAGCAUUGGAUGUUUACGAGUCUAAUAAUAUUGAUUUUUUGAAAUUUUUUAAAAAUAUAAAAUCAUUUAACUUUUAUAAAAUAUAGGUAAAAAUUACAUUACAAAUAUUUAGCGCAAAAAUCAAUCUAGUAUACAAAAUUAUAAAAAUGAUAUACAAUAAUAUACAAAACAAUUUAUUCUUACAAAAAUGUUUUAAAAUGUGAUACACUUAUAUAGACUCAAUAUACAAUAUUAUAUAAAAUUGUAAAAGACAAUAUGCACUCUUCUACAAUAAUAUACAAUAUAAUACUUUAUCAUUAGAAAAAUGAACUUUGUCUUCUCCUUAAAUCUAAGCAUCAGAGUCAUCCAAAAAUACCUAAAAAGCUACAUGAGAUCAUUCAAAAUUUCAUAUUUAGGUUCUUCAACAUGUAGUUGAUUUUUUGCGACAUGGUUGAAGGUAAUUAUAUACUCUCACUUCUUGAUGAUUUGAUUCUACUCUUAUAGAUUUGAACACUAUCGAGGCCGAAGUUAUUGAUUUAGAUCAGAUUGUCUUAUUACUUAUUUUCUUAUCCCAAUCAUUGAAGCAUGUUAGAUAUACUAUGUUCUAUGGAAAAGGAUAGUAUCUCGUAUUGGAAAUUAAAUCUAUGUCAAAAUUAAAAGAACAAAUAAUAUUUUAACUACUAGUAGUUUUAAAUGUAAAACAAUGAGUGGGCAUUAUUUGGAAUAGUUCUUAUCAUAUGUGUUCCAAUAGAGAUUAUUUGCUUACCAUAUACAAAUUUGUUGGAGGUGGAAUUGUCUUAAUGGAUAACAAUGUUCCCUACAAAGUUUUGAUAAAGGUACAAAUCGAAUCAAAAUGCACGAUUAUUAGGUAAGAACUCUCACUAAUGAUACAUAACUUAAAGAAUCUCAUCUCAUUAGUCAUUCUAGAAUUUCUUUGGUGGAAAUACACAAUCGACAGUGGAGUUAGAAAAAUCUCUCUAGAUGCUAUGAUGAACAUGAAAGCAUGUAAAUCUAGUAAGUUGCACACUUUACUAGGAUUCAUUAUCACAUGUUUUACUAUAUUUUCUACUUAAUUUGAUUAUGACAUUACCAAAUUGUGGUAUAUAUGAGUGAGGUCUUUCCAUCCUCGACAAAAGAGGUCUCUUAUGUGGACAUAAUAUCAGCAAUAGACUUUGAUGAAUACAAUAUAUAUUUAUGAAGAAGAAAAGAGUCAAAUUCAAACCUAUAAUAACUCAUCGAACAAAAGCUACUUUAGACUAAAUUCAUUUAGACAUUUGGAUCCUUCUAGUCCCUCGUCAAAAGGUGGUACUAGGUAUAUGUUAACUUUCAUUGAGGAUUAUUGUUUUGAUUUAUUUCCUAAAAAAAAAAAGUGAUAUUUUCUUAAGUUUCAAAUAAUGAAAAUUUUUAAUUGAAAAGCAAACAGGAAAUCAUGUCAAUUAAUGACUUGAUAUUUUAUAAUGGUGAUUUCAAUAAAUUUUACAAAAAUGAAGGAAUCACUCGACGUCAUACUGUGAGGAUGACGCCUUCGCAAAACGGUAUUGCAAAAAAGAUGAAUAAAACUCUUUUUGAAAGAGCUCAUUGCAUGAUUUAAAUUUUGGGUUGACUAAUGCUUUUAGGCAAAUGAGAUUUCUAGGUAUUGUUAUAUUACACAUUCAAUAAUAUUAAUUUUUAAUUUUUUUUUAAAAAAUAAUAUAUAUACAUACAUACAUACAUAUAUAUAUAUAUAAAUAUAUAUAUAUAUAUAUAUAUAUAUAUACAUACAUAUAUAUAUACAUACAUAUAUACAUACAUACAUACAUACAUAUAUAUAUAUACAUACAUACAUAUAUAUAUAUACAUACAUACAUGCAUACAUAUAUAUAUAUAUAUAUAUAUAUAUAUAUAUAUAUAUAAAACUAUCUAACUUAUGUAAAAAUAUUUGAAAAAGGAAAAUAUUUGAUCCAUUUAAUAACAAUAGAGACAUUUUAUAAUCAAAUUAUUAGAGGUAGAUAUAUUUUUGGAUCAAACUAUUAACGUGAAAGGUGUUUUUAGACCAACUUAUUGAGUGAAGACAUUUUCUUUCACUUUCACAUAAUUUCAGAAUAUUUUUACUCUUUUCCAAAAAUUGUAAAAUAAAAUUUUAGAAAACAAAUCAAAGCCGAAUUAUGCAUGCAAUAAGAAAAAUCGGUAUACAAAGAUUAACCAAUAUCAAUACUGACCUUUAACAACUGAAUACAUCUUUCAUACUAGUUAAAAUAGCAUGUGAUGUGUACACGUAUAAUAAUAUUAAUUUUAAAAAAUAAAUAAAAAUGUAUCUAACUUAUAUAAAAAUAUAGGUCAAAAACUUACAUUACAAAUAUUUAGUGCAAAAAACAAUCCAAUAUAAAAUAUUUUACAUAUGAUAUACAAAAAAUUAUUAUUUAUUUAUGAUACUUAAUAAAUAAUAGUAUACACUCAAUAUGCAAUAUUAUAUAAAAUUAUAAAAGAUAUUAUGCACUCAUAUACAAUAAAUAAUAUACUACAUUAUUAUUAAAAAACAAACUUCGUCUUUUUUCUUGAUUCAAGUAUCAGAGUCAUCCAAAACUACACCAAAUCAUUCAAAAUUUCAGAUUUAUUUCUCGACACGUCACCAAUUUUUUUGCAAUAAUGCUCACUCAAAACUAAGCUUAUUUGUAAAAAUUUAAUAUUCAAAUUUUGAAGCUUCGAGGCUCAACAUUAUCUACCUGUGAUUUCAACAAAAUGUUCCAAUAAUGAAAUAAAAUAAUGACUUAAUAUACAAUAUGUAGUGAAAUAAAAUAAUGACUUAAAUCACAUCAGAUAGGUACUUAAAACUCUAUAUCCAAGUUAUAGUAUACCAUUUAAUAAUUAUUGAAAAUAAUAGUUUAGUGACAAAUCCUAACAUAUUAAAAUCGCCAGCGAGAUAUAAUUGAAUUCCUAUAGUAAUCAUAUCGAAAGUUUUUGAAAUAGAUUAAAAAAAAUUGAUGUGUAAAAUGAAACAGAAGUGUUUUGAGUAUGUAAUAGAGAGGAAAGUUAGAUAACAAUAGGUUAGUGGAUAAUUUGAUUAAUUUUAGAAAUCUUGGCCCAUUAGUGUGUGUAUACAUACAUAUGGGGAAAUUUUUUAAAAUGUCAAUAUUUUAACAUUAUAAAAGGCUUAUUAGCAACACUUUCAAUAUUUAGAAGAAAUGUCAAAUUAUAGUUUGUUAUGUAUCUUAUUUAUUUUUUUAUUAUUUAUUUUUAUUUAAAGAAUAUAAUUAUUUAAUUACAAAAGUGAGAGAAUAUUUCAAAAAAAGGUAAAAAUCACUUAAUUUUCUCAUCAGUUACAUUUUCAAAUAAAAUUUAAAGUUUGUUCUCUUUUUUUUCUCCAGAAUUUUUACCUUUUUAACAUUAUAUUCAUUCCACAAUAUAUUCUAUUUAUAUUCAUUAUAGUUUUUUAUUAGUUUGUAUUCAUUUCAAUAGGUAUGUCAAAUGUAUCUAUAUAGUAAUUUAAGAAAUAUAUUUGUAUUCAUAUUUUUUUUCCUCUAUAGUUAUUUUUUUCUUCAAAAAUCUUGUAUGUAUUCAUUUCGAUAUGUAUUUUAUUUGUAUUUCUAUUUAUUCUAGUUUUUAUUUAGAAUUUUUUACAAUAAUAUAUAAAAUACAAAAAAAUAGUAUGAUGAAAAAGUGAGAAUGAAAUAAAAAAUUGAAAAGAAAUAAUUGAAUAUUUGGUGUAAUCAUUUUUAAAUAAAAUACAUAACUAGUUGACAUACCUUUAGAAUAAAUACAACAAAAAUUCAUUAGUAAAAUAUGAAAUGUCAUAGUCAUGUAAAAUAUAUUCAUAAAUUAUUGAUAUCUACAAAUGUGAAAAAAAUAUAAAGGAAUGAAAAAAUAAUACAUUAUCAAAAUUAACAAAAACUGACCCCAAAAUACAAUAAUAAAAUAACAACUGAAUACAAAAUACAAACUAAUAAAUAUUGCACAAUGUACAUAACAAGAAAGUUACAAAUACAUUCAGUACACAUUGUUGAACAAAUUGUUAUUUAACUUCAACUCAACAUGCAAAAAUCUAAACAUGUAAAAAAUAUUUAAAUACCUCUUCAUCAACAAUUUGGUCUUCGCCGUCAUUUUCUUAUACCCUACUAGUUACGUUUUCAAUCUGAAUUUGAUGAAGACUUUAUUCUUGUUGUCUCUCUUCCCUAAUUUUAGAAGUAGAUCUUACAAUAUCCGCUAUUUCUUGAGUAAUACAUAGAUUAAAUGAUGGAAAAUCACUAAAAAUCGUUUUACUAAGAUGAAUAGUGUCUCUUAUAAUCAUUCUUUGAAGAGUGUUUUAUAGUUCUAAACGAGAAGAAUCCUAAUUCACCAAUUAUUUAAACAACAAUAAAAUCAAAAAAUAAAUCUAAAAAGAAAAGAUAACGAUAAAAAUACCUUAAUUAGAGGAAUUUGUGUGAAUCCAGAUUUUGAAGAUAAAAAAAAUAUUUCGCUAGAAGAUAAUAAAAAAUUGAAGUUGAAGAGAAGAAAGAUUUAAAGGUUGAAUAGGAAUAUGAACAUGAAAAUAUGGAGAGAGAAUUUUUUUUUUUUUUUACUUAUGUGAUAAAUAUGGAAGAGAGAGAUAUGGGAAAAAUUUGCAGAUUUUGAUUUUUUAAAAAAUUAAAAUAAUUUGGGAAAAGUGAACUAUGAAUAUACAUAUAAAUGUAGAUAAAUUAUUAUUUUAGGAGAUAAAAUAGGGGUUUAAUUAGGAUACAUAUUCUUUUUUAAAAUAAUUACAUUUUUAACAUUUUAACCAAUAUUUUUAAAGUAGUGAGUUUUUUACUAAUUAAGUUAUUGAUUUUGACUAGUUUGCUAGUUUUUCCUAUAUAUAAAGGAGAAACAUAAAGAAUGUGAUGUGACACCUGUCUAUGAUAUUCAUUCAUAUUUAUCUUUUUUCUCCUUUUGGGGAUUCUUUCUAUCCCUUUUUUUAAUUAAAUAAUUUGUUUAAUAAUUUAAAAAUUCAAUCAUAUUUAGUAUUCUAAUUAUGUCUAAUAAGUUACAACAAAAACUUCAUCUUUUUACCUUCUCUAUUUAAAUGACAUGUCUCUUCAACUUCUUUUUAACUAUUCUUAUGAUUUAUUCAAUCUAUAAAUAACAAUCAUUUAUGUUCAAUUUCAUUUUCUCAUUCUUUCUUUUUAUAAGUAUUAUUUUUUCUCCUCUUAAAAAAAAACUACUCAUCAUUUUCAUCAAUCAUGUAGUUAAUAAUGUCACAUACGACUUUCACUUUGAUAAAGAUCAUGAAUAUAUUCUUCAAAGAUUCAUCAUAUAGAAGGUCACAUUAAUUUGGUAUAAGUUCAUCAAAUGAAGAAGGAAACUUAAUUAUCUUGAAAGAUUCAUCAAAAGAGAUGGUCAUAUGAGUAUAAAAGUUUGACUAGUUUUCAAAUAUUUUGAAGAUUCAAUUAAUGUAUUAUUUUGAUUUCAAUUAAUAUUAUAAUAUCUUUUUUUUUUUAUCAAAUAUAUGAAUUUCCUUUUACUCAACAAAAAUUAAAUUAUGAGACUCUAUUAACCAACAUAUUAAAAAAUCCAAUAAGUAUUUCUUGAUCAAUUGUUUCUUCAUCCUCUUCUUCUUCCUCUUAUUACUUUUCGUCCUCCUCCUCCUCCUCCUCCUUCUUCUUCUUCUUCUUCUUCCACUUUGUCUUUCUCUUCUCCCUCCUCCUCCUCUUUCUUUUCGUCUUCGUCUUUCUCUUCCUCUUCCUCUUCCUCUUCCUCGUCCUUGUCUGCGUCCUCUUCCUUGACCACAUCCUCGUCAUCUUUCUCUUUUUGUUGUUAUUGUUGUUAUUGUUGUCGUUGUUGUCGUUGUUGCUGUUGUUGAUAGUGGUGAUGUUGUUGUUGUUGUCAUCGUCUUCCUCCUCUUCAUCUUCGUCUUCAUCUUUGUCUUCAUUUUUCUCCUCUUCUUCUUCUUCUAAUUCUUUUUCUUCCUCUUCUUCAUCCUCUUCCUUCUCCUCCUCUUCUUCUUCUUCUUCUUCUUACUCUUCGUCUCCCUCUUCUUCUUCCUCUUCUUCUUAUUAGUCUUCCCCGUUUUCCUCUUUAUCCUCUUGUCCUCAUCCUCAUUUUUGCCAUCUUUCUCUUCCUAUUGUUGUUGUUGUUGCUGUUAUUGUACAAAUGAAUGAAGAUGAAAAGUAUCAUAUUUUUAUUAAUUUUUUUAUGGGUUUUGUUUUUCAAUUUUUAAUUAAUAUUGUAUAUUUUACACAUGGUUAAAAGGUAAAAUAUUACCUCUAGUACAUUUCUUAUAGCUAUUGAAUAUUGUUGCCCCUAUAAGUAUAUGAUAUGGUUUAUCAUAUUAGAAAUUAAUCACAAAAAAUCAUCUUUUUAGUAUUUUAAAACUUUCGGUAAUAAAUAAAUUAUUUAAAAAAAUGAACGGAGAUAAAAUUAAAUCCGCAUUUAUAUGUAUUCUUAUUUCUUAAACUUCUUGUCCGAUCACAUGUUAUCACAUAAAAUGGGACGGAGGGAGUAAAAUUGUCACUCUAUGAUAAUUUUUAUAUAAUUUAGUAGAUAAGAAAAACAUCAGAUUACAAAUUACAUCAUGACUUGGUAUAAGUAUAUAUUUAAGGGAAGCUUACAUAACUAUACUAUAUCAAAAAAAACAUUUACCAUUUAUAGCAAUAACGUUUUUUUUUCACUUGAUCACUUUUAAUACAUUUAUAAUACAAUUUUAAUUUAUAUUACAAAGAACAAUUUAUUAUUCACAUAUAAUACAAGAUUUAUUGAUGGGUAAUACAUUUAUCACAUAUUUUAAUUGUAACGACCUGUUUAGUCGUUUCGAGUAGUAAAGUUUAGUUUUGAAAAUAACUGACUGUGUCGACGGACCACACGACGGACCGUCGUGGUCACGAAGGAUCGACGAAGGUCUCCAUCCCAAAACACUUAAACUCUGAAAAAUUGGGUACGGGGAUCAACUCUCUGAACUUCGCGACGGAACUGCAGCACGGACCGUCGUAGACACGACGGACCGUCAAAGACCUUACUACUGAAAUUGAGUCUCAAAACUCUGUGACGACCCUGCAGGACGGACCGUCGCAGGCACGACGGGCCGUCACGAGUGGCGUAAUUCCACCUGGGUCGGAUUUCUGCUAAAGUUUUUUAAGGGGCAUUUUGGACUAUUUAUGACAAACUGUAUGGAAUUAGGGGAUAAGUUUAAUAACUUAUUUACUUGGGGGUUAAAGGACAUAACCUUGAAAUAAAUAGUGGGUUACUUUUAUCAUCUUUUAUACUUAAUUAUAUGGUAAUUAGGGUAAAACAAAGGGAAUUUGAAAGAGGAGAAAAUUAAAAAGAAAAGAAGAGAGAAUGAGCGAGAGAGAAAGAAGAACGAAGAGAAAGCAAAAAGCAUUGGAGAAGUAGAUUGCUUGAUCACGAUUUUUCGGUGGAGGUAGGUUAUGGUUUAUGCUAUUUCAUAGCAAACUCUUAAUAGCGAAUGACAUGUAUUGGGUAGUAUUGUAAAGUCUUCUAUAUGCUUAAUUGUGUGCUUGCAUGAUGUGAUUAUGUAAUUGUAAUGGAUUCGAAAGAUGAGGUUGUGAAUCUUAAACCUUAAAUCCACUUUGUUAAUGAUGAAGCCUUGGUAUAAAAGAAAGCUUAAUGAACUAAAAGCAUGAGAUUAGGGGAUCGGGUGUCACGAACCGACACGUAGAAUUAGGGGAUCGGAGUGUCACGUACCGACACCAGGAAUUAAAGGAUCGGGUGUCACGAACCAACACGUAGUAGUAGGGAUCGGAGUGUCACGUUCCGACACCAGGAUAAUAAAGAGAAUGAAUCUUUAGGGAAUCAGAGUGUCACGUUCCGACACCAGGAUGAUAAAGAGAAUGAAUCUUGAAUUAUGUUAAUAUACUCAAAUUUAAAGAACCUAUUUCCCAAAUGAGUAUGGUGUGGAGGCUUGAGUCCUCAUAGAUGUGCUUGGGUUGUGGCCAAUGGUUAUGGUACUUGUUGUUGUCACCAGUUGAGUAUGGUAGUCGAUUUUAUGUUAUUAUCUGAUAUAUAUUGCUUUCUAUUUUGAGUUGGCCGAUGAUACCUACUCAGUACUUGUGCCUUGUACUGACCCCUACUUGUAAUUUCCUUCUUUGUUAUUUGUGGAGUGCAGUAAACGUGCCAUCGACUUCAACUCGUCCUCAACUCUAGCCAGUCUUCAUCACGUCAGAUUUCAGGGUGAGCUAUUGUUCCUAGCUCGGACUGGAUUCUCUCUCAUUCAUGUCUUGAUGUUCUUGAAGUUCGGACAUAGACCAUCUGUUUACUUAUUUUAGCUUCCUAGAUACUCUUAGAUUUAGUAAUUUGAGGAUAGAAUGUUCUUGUGGUGAUGACUUCCAGAUUUUUGGAAUAAUAAGUAUUGAGUUUUAGAAGUUAUUUAAUCGAUGUUUAUUAAUGAGUUUUAAGUCUUCCGCAUUAUAUUCUGUUUCUUAUGGUUGAAAUGUUGGGGUUUAGAUUGGUUGGUUCGCUCACAUAGUAGGAUAAGUGUGGGUGCCACUCGCGGCUCGUUUCCGGUCGUGACAAACUUGGUAUCAGAGCAUUAGGUUCGUUGGUCUCAUCACACAAGAGCGAGUCUAGUAGAGUCUUGAGAAACGGUAGGGGGACGCCUUUACUUUUCUUUGAGAGGCUAUAAGACUUUAGGAAAAUUUCAUUCUUUCUUUCUUUUGUGCUAUUACUUGGAUCCAAUUGGUAUCUAGGUGAUACAAAUUGGUAUCUGACCAUCUUCACUCUAUUUCGCAGAUGGUUAGAACUAGAGCAACAAUCGCGCCAACACCAACACCGGCAAGACAAAAUGCGUCUGAACCAGCCACUGAGGCUGUAGCUCGAAGAGGAGCAGUGGCAAGAGGCCGUGGUAGAGGUCGCGGGAGGACGUCCUCUAGAGGAAGAGGAAAAGCACCUGGCCCAGCUAGUACUAGGGCGGUGACUCCUCCACCGACUGAGGAAGUAUUAAGAGAGGGUGAGGAAGGGGAGAAUGAACAAGUGCAGAAUGAGGAAUUACCACCCCAACCUACCCCAGAGAUGAUUAAUCAGGUUCUUGCUUAUCUUAGCGGGUUAUCUGAUCAAGGCCAGACACCUCCAGUGUUUUCUGUACUAGCACCUCAGGUUCCGGGAGUACAACAUGCAGCUGCUGUGGCUCCCUGCAUGGAUGUCUCAUUGAAAAUAGGCAUGUUUUCUCGAUUGACUACAGGGCCUAUAAUGAUGAGUGAUCACCACGAACAUUUCACUAAGUUCUUGAAAUUGAAACCUCUAGUCUUCAAGGGUGCUGAAUCUAAGGAUGCAUAUGAUUUUCUGGUUGAUUGUCAUGAGCUGCUACAUAAGAUGGGCAUAGUGGAAUGAUUCGGUGUUGAGUUUGUAACCUAUCAGUUUCAGGGAAAUGCCAAAAUGUGGUGGCGAUCGUAUGUUGAGUGUCAACCAGCACAGGCACCACCUAUGACUUGGGCAUCAUUCUCUAGCUUGUUUAUGGAGAAAUAUAUACCCCGGACUUUGAGGGUUAGGAGGAGGGAUGAGUUCCUGAGCCUAGAGCAAGGCAGCAUGUCGGUUACUGCUUAUGAGGCUAAGUUUCGUGCAUUAUACAGGUAUGCCACCCAGCUUUGCUUCAGUCCACAAGAGCGGAUUCGCCGUUUUGUGAAGGGAUUGAGGUCAGAUUUGCAGAUUCCAGCCUUACAGUUAGCUACUGCAGCAAAAUCCUUUCAAGAGGUGGUAGAUUUUGAGAUAGAAGUGGAGGGAGUGAAGCUAGACGACUUCACCAUGACAUCGACACCUAAGAAGUUUCGUAAGGGAGGUGAGAUUGGUGGGUCUUACUCCAGAGGGAAGAGUUCAGGAGGUUACCCAGCCCGACCUAUUCAGUCUUCACUGCAGGUUGUAGCUGGGGGUCCACCGCAGACCGGUCAACACUUCUCUGAGUUUGGGGGUUAUCCCCAGACUCCGUCGUUCUCACACAGACCUAUACUUGAACCCAGAGAGUGUUAUGGAUGUGGGGAGACUGUACAUAUUAGGAGGUAUUGUCCAAAACAGAGUUACAGACCCCCAAUAGUCAGAUGUAGAGGUGGUCAUGGAAGAGGCCGCUAUUCUGGAGGACGGGGUGGCCAAGGUAAUGGAGGUCACCAAAUCAACCGGGGUGGCGGGCAAACUGGAACUACUGCAGCGCAACAUGGUAGGGGCAACGACCAGACAGGUGAUAGGGCCCAUUGUUAUGCUUUCCCUGGGAGGUCUGAAGCGGAGACAUCUGAUGCUGUUAUCACAAGUAAUCUUUUGGUUUGUGAUUGCAUGGCUUCUGUAUUAUUUGAUCCUGGCUCCACAUUUUCAUAUGUAUCUUCUUCAUUUGCUACUGGUCUUAAUUUACAUUGUGAAUUGCUUGACAUGCCUAUUCGUGUUUGUACUCCGGUGGGUGAGUCUGUGAUAGUUGAAAAGGUGUAUAGGUCUUGUCUUGUAACUUUAGUGGGGAGCAAUACUCUUGUAGACUUGGUUACCUUAGAAAUGGUUGAUUUUGAUGUAAUUCUGGGUAUGACUUGGCUUUCUCCAAAUUUUGCAAUCUUAGUUUGCAAUGCUAAAACUGUAACGUUGGCCAAGCCUGGGACAGAUCUGUUAGUGUGGGAGGGUGACUACAUUUCCACUCCAAUUCGUAUCAUCUCCUUUCUUCGUGCUAAGAGAAUGGUUAGUAAAGGGUGUUUAGUUUUCUUGGCACACCUUAGGGAUGAUACUACCCAAGUACCUUCAAUUGAGUCGGUUUCGAUAGUCCGUGAGUUUCUGGAUGUGUUUCCUGCAGACCUUCCUGGUAUGCCACCGGAUAGGGAUAUUGAGUUUGCAUUGAUCUGGAGCCGGGUACUCGCCCCAUUUCCAUACCCCCUUAUAGAAUGGCUCCCGCUGAGUUAAGGGAGUUAAAGGCCCAACUUCAAGAGUUGUUAGGCAAAGGCUUCAUUAGACCAAGCGCUUCCCCUUGGGGUGCUCCUGUUUUGUUUGUGAAGAAGAAGGAUGGAAGUUUUCGGAUGUGCAUAGACUACAAACAACUGAAUAAGGUAACUAUUAAGAACAAGUAUCCUCUUCCUCGCAUCGAUUAUUUGUUCGAUCAGUUACAAGGUGCUUGUACCUUCUCAAAAAUCGAUUUGAGAUCUGGUUAUCAUCAAUUGAAAAUACGGUCAACAGAUGUGCCAAAGACUAUUUUUCGGACCAGGUAUGGACAUUAUGAGUUCUUAGUAAUGUCUUUUGGGCUUACGAAUGCCCCUGCUGCUUACAUGAACUUGAUGAACGGGAUUUUUAAGCCAUAUCUAGAUCUCUUUAUCAUUGUAUUCAUUGAUGAUAUACUGGUAUACUCCAAGAGCAGGAAAGAACAUGAGGAGCACUUGAGAAUUGUAUUGGAAAUGUUGAGGGAGAAAAAGCUUUAUGCCAAAUUCUCCAAGUGUGAGUUUUGGCUAGAUUCAGUGUCCUUCUUGGGGCAUGUAGUUUCUAAGGAUGGAGUGAUGGUGGAUCCUUCUAAGAUCGAAGUAGUGAAGAGUUGGGUGAGACCUACUAAUUUUACAGAGGUAAGGAGCUUCGUUGGUUUAGCUAGCUACUACCGUCGAUUUGUCAAGGGAUUUUCUUCUGUUGCUUCCCAAUUGACAAACUUGACUAAGCAGAGUGUUCCAUUUGUAUGGUCGGACGAGUGUGAAGAAAUCUUUCAGAAGCUCAAGACUUUGUUGACUACUGCACCAAUUCUUACCCUGCCAGUGGAAGGUAAGAAUUUCAUUGUUUACUGUGAUGCAUCCUAUUCUGGUUUGGGUGCAGUGCUAAUGCAAGAGAAGAAUGUAAUUGCUUAUGCUUCGAGGCAAUUAAAGGUGCAUGAACGUAAUUAUCCGACCCACGAUUUGGAGUUGGCUGCAGUAGUGUUUGCAUUAAAGCAAUGGAGACAUUAUCUAUAUGGGGUUAAGUGUGAAGUCUAUACGAAUCAUCGUAGUUUACAGUAUGUCUUUACUCAGAAAGAUUUGAAUUUAAGACAGAGGAGGUGGAUGGAACUACUGAAGGACUAUGAUAUCACUAUCUUGUAUCAUCCGGGAAAAGCUAAUGUUGUGGCAGAUGCUUUAAGUCAAAAGGCAGGGAGCAUGGGAAGUCUAGCUCACUUGCAGGUUUCUAGAUGCCCAUUGGCUAGAGAGGUUCAGACUCUGGCUAAUGACUUUAUGAGGCUGGAAGUACUAGAGAAGGGAGGAUUUUUGGCCUGUGUGGAGGCAAGAUCUUCCUUUCUUGACAAGAUUAAGGGAAAGCAGUUUACUGAUGAGAAACUGAUCCGGAUUCGAGAUAAGGUAUUGCGAGGAGAGGCUAAAGAAGCAAAAAUCGAUGAGGAAGGUGUUUUGAGAAUUAAGGAAAGGGUAUGUGUACCCCGCGUCGAUGAUUUGAUUCACACUAUUCUUACAGAGGCUUAUAGUUCAAGGUAUUCUAUACAUCCUGGUGCAACCAAGAUGUAUCGUGACCUAAAGCAACAUUUUUGGUGGAGUAGGAUGAAGCGUGACAUUUUUGAUUUUGUUGCUCAAUAACCGAAUUGUCAGCAGGUAAAGUAUGAACACCAGAGGCCUGGAGGGACACUUCAGAGAAUGCCCAUUCCUGAAUAGAAGUGGGAGAGAAUUGCAAUGGACUUCGUGGUUGGUCUUCCAAGCACAAUGGGUAAGUAUGACUCUAUUUGGGUGAUUGUUGACAGAUUAACUAAGUCUUCUCACUUCAUUCCGGUUAAGGUGACUUACAAUGCAGAGAAGUUAGCCAAACUUUAUAUCUCAGAAAUUGUUCGAUUGCACGGAGUUCCACUUUCCAUCAUAUCAGAUAGAGGUACGCAAUUUACUUCUAAGUUUUGGAAAACAUUGCAUGCUGAAUUAGGUACUAGGUUGGAUCUUAGUAAUGUAUUUCACCCUCAGACCGAUGGUCAGUCUGAGCGAACGAUUCAGGUUUUGGAGGAUAUGCUUCGUGCAUGUGUGAUAGAGUUUUGUGGUCAUUGGGAUAACUUCUUACCCUUAGCAGAGUUCUCAUACAAAAAUAGCUAUCACUCAAGUAUUGAUAUGGCCCCAUUUGAGGCACUGUAUGGGAGGAGAUGUAGGUCUACCAUUGGGUGGUUUGAUGCAUUUGAGGUUAGACCUUGGGGUACUGACCUUCUGAGGGAAUCGUUAGAUAAAGUGAAAUGCAUUCAAGAAAAGAUUUUAGCGGCUCAAAGUAGACAGAAGGAAUAUGCAGAUCGAAAGGUUAGAGACUUGGAUUUUAUGGAGGGUGAACAAGUCUUGCUGAAGGUUUCACCCAUGAAAGGGGUGAUGUGGUUCGGUAAGCGAGGUAAGCUUAGUCUGAGGUACAUUGGUCCAUUUGAAAUUCUGAAGCGCGUGGGGGAGGUAGCUUAUGAAUAAUCAUUGCCCCCAGGACUGUCAGGAGUGCACCCGGUAUUUCAUGUGUCUAUGUUGAAAAGAUACCAUGGGGAUGGAAACUACAUCAUUCGUUGGGAUUUAGUUCUUCUUGAUGAGAAUUUGUCUUAUGAGGAGGAGACUGUUGCUAUUUUAGAUAGAGAAGUUCGCAAGUUGAGGUCAAGGGAGAUUGCAUCCAUCAAGGUUCAAUGGAAGAAUCGGCCAGUUGAAGAGUCCACUUGGGAGAAGGAGGCUGAUAUGCAAGAAAAAUAUCCACAUCUCUUUACAGACUCAGGUACUCUUUCUCGCCCUUGUUUUUCUUCCUGUGAUCGUUCGAGGACGAACGAUGGGUAAAUUGGUAUCUAUUGUAACGACCUGUUUAGUCGUUUUGAGCAGUAAAGUUUAGUUUUGAAAAUAACUGACUGUGUCGACGGACCACACGACGGACCAUCGUGGUCACGACGGAUCGUCGAAGGUCUCCGUCCCAAAACACUUAAACUCUGAAAAAUUGGGUACGGGGAUCAACUCUCUGAACUUCGCGACGGAACUGCAGCACGGACCAUCGUAGACACGACGGACCGUCACAGACCUUCCUACUGAAAUUGAGUCCCAGAACUCUGUGACGACCCUGCAGGACGGACCGUUGCAGGCACGACGGGCCAUCAUGAGUGGCGUAAUUCCACCUGGGUCGGAUUUCUGCUAAAGUUUUUUAAGGGGCGUUUUGGACUAUUUAUGAUAAACUGUAUGGAAUUAGGGGAUAUGUUUAAUAACUUAUUUACUUGGGGGUUAAAGGACAUAACCUUGAAAUAAAUAGUGGGUUACUUUUAUCAUCUUUUAUACUUAAUUAUAUGGUAAUUAGGGUAAAACAAAGGGAAUUUGAAAGAGGAGAAAAUUAAAAAGAAAAGAAGAGAGAACGAGCGAGAGAGAAAGAAGAACGAAGAGAAAGCAAAAAGCAUUGGAGAAGUAGAUUGCUUGAUCAUGAUUCUUCGGUGGAGGUAGGUAAUGGUUUAUGCGAUUUCAUAGUAAACUCUUAAUAGCGAAUGAUAUGUAUUGGGUAGUAUUGUGAAGUCUUCUAUAUGCUUAAUUGUGUGCUUGCAUGAUGUGAUUAUGUAAUUGUAAUGGAUUGGAAAGAUGAGGUUGUGAAUCUUAAACCUUAAAUCCACUUUGUUAAUGAUGAUGCCUUGGUAUAAAAGAAGGCUUGAUGAACUAAAAGAAUGAGAUUAGGGGAUCGGGUGUCAUGAACCGACACGUAUAAUUAGGGGAUUGGAGUGUCACGUACCGACACCAGGAAUUAAGGGAUCGGGUGUCACGAACCAACACGUAGUAGUAGGGGAUCGGAGUGUCACGUUCCGACACCAGGAUAAUAAAGAGAAUGAAUCUUUAGGGGAUCGGAGUGUCACGUUCUGACACCAGGAUGAUAAAGAGAAUGAAUCUUGAAUUAUGUUAAUAUACUCAAAUUUAAAGAACCUAUUUCCCAAAUGAGUAUGGUGUGGAGGCUUGAGUCCUUAUAGAUGUGCUUAGGUUGUGGCCAAUGGUUAUGGUACUUGUUGUUGUCACCAGUUGAGUAUGGUAGUCUAUUUUUUGUUAUUAUCUGAUAUAUAUUGCUUUCUAUUUUGAGUUGGCCGAUGAUACCUACUCAGUACUUGUGCCUUGUACUGACCCCUACUUGUAAUUUUCUUCUUUGUUAUUUGUGGAGUGCAGUAAACGUGCCAUCGACUUCAACUCGUCCUCAACUCUAGCCAGUCUUCAUCACGUCAGAUUUCAGGGUGAGCUAUUGUUCCUAGCUCGGACUGGAUUCUCUCUCAUUCAUGUCUUGAUGUCCUUGAAGUUCGGACAUAGACCAUCUGUUUACUUAUUUUAGCUUCCUAGUUACUCUUAGAUUUAGUAAUUUGAGGAUAGAAUGUUCUUGUGGUGAUGACUUCCAGAUUUUGGGAAUAAUAAGUAUUGAGUUUUAGUAGUUGUUUAAUCUAUGUUUAUUAAUGAGUUUUAAGUCUUCCGCAUUAUAUUCUGUUUCUUAUGGUUGAAAUGUUGGGGUUUAGAUUGGUUGGUUCGCUCACAUAGUAGGAUAAGUGUGGGUGCCACUCGCGGCUCGUUUCGGGUCGUGACAUUAAUACACUUAAAAUACAAUGUGUCAAUUUCUUACCAAACAAGCACAAUAUAUUUUCUAAAAGAAUACAAUUAUAAUACAAAUAUAUUUCUUGCAUAAUUCACUUUUAAUACAUAUUGCAAAUUUAACAUAGUAUUACUAUAAAUGAUAAUAAAUAAACAAUAUUGCUAAAAUCAAUAAAAAUAAAUUAAAAGUUACCAAUUCAAGUAAUUUUCCAUUUAAGUUAAUGCCCUAUGAUACUUUAAUCAUAUUCAUUUCUAGAAAAAAAAUUACAACUUCCCAACGAGGAGUUCCACGGUUUCAACAAUAAUCAAAUUUUCUUUGUAUUGUGUAUAUUAAUAAGAAGUUAUAUUAAUAGGUCCUAACCCAUUGGUGGCCCCCUAAACUUGGCACUAAUUUUCACUUAGACACCUUAAUUAGGUUUUGUUCAUUUUAGACACCUCAUGUCAUGUCUCAUUAUGUCAUUUUAACACUUUUUCCUGACAUGGCAUGGUGAGUGUAGCACACUCACUACCAGCGCGUGAAAGGUCCAUUUAAUCAUUUUUAUUUUAUUUUUUUUCAUUUUCUUCCUCAUUUUUUAGCCACCAUCUCUCAAAACGAACUUCUUCCAUAGAGAAAUAGUUUGAUGAUGUUAUGGACAAAAAAAAAGAACUUUAAUGCAAAGAGAUUUCACAAAAAAAUAAAUUUCAACCCAUUAAAAAAAUCACGAUUCAUGUUAUCGCAAAGAAGAAGGGCAACAAAAAAUCUUGAAAGACGAUGAAUAGGGUGGGAGAAGGGUGUAGAAGACGAUGUCGGUAGGGAAUGGGUUGGGGUUAAAAUGGACAAAGGUGUAGAAGACAUUUGGGGGGGGGGGGGGGGGGAUAGUGAAGGAGACGAUUUGGGUGGGUGGGUGGGUAGGGGUUGGAGUGGGGGGGGGGGGCAGAGAAGAUGACCUUGGUAGAUUUUCUUUCGUGUUAUUGUGAAAAAUUCCAUGUGUGUCUAAAAUGAAAAAAACUUAGUGACACAUGGAAUUUUUCAUACAAAACACGUGGCAUGUAUAUUACAAAUAUUUUUUAAAUAAUAAUAUUUUAGUAGAAUGCAAAAUGACAUGAUGUGUCUAAAAUGAACAAAACUUAGUUAAGGCGUCUAAGUAAAAAUUGGUGCCAAGUUUAGGAGGUCACCGAUGGAUGAGACCUAUUAUUAGUACUAUAUUAAUUGGGUUGAAACAUAGAUGGAAAUUAUGAGAUUUUUCAGUUGGUAAAAAUUCAUGCCUUUUUAUUUCUCAAACUUUAUCCAAUAUUGUAACACUUGCUAAACCCGUAAUUACAAAGAAAAAUUAUCUCUUCUUAAGUGCUGGUAUUUUAUCGAAAAAAUAGAAGUAGAGAACUUGCUUUUCUUUUAAAAAAAAAAUUUAAAAGAGUCUUUACUUAAGUUUAUUAGAGAUUAUCAAGAAAAUUUAUUCUUUUCAAAAGACUUAACAGACUGGCAUUCGAAAAUAUCAAAAAAGUGUUGGGGGUUCAAUUUACACUUCAAGAAGGUGUUAAGAUUUUGAAGUGUCCGUAAACACGCAAUUGACAUACACAUUGACUAAAUAUUUUACCAACUUUGAAUUACUUAAAGAAAAUAAUAAUUAUUUUAAAAUAUUUAACUUAAACACUUUGUAAUAGUUUAGAAAGAUUCAAAAAUGACCAGGUAAAGAAAGCUAACUAAAUAAAUUAUUGAAAUGAAUAAAUUAUCAUAAUCAAAAGUGAUUCAUCUAUAGUCAAAGAGAAUAAUAAGGGGAAAAGAAAAGAGCAACUUUCACAUAUAAAAAAUAUAAAAUUAUAUUUUUAUUUUAUAGUUAUAGUUUGCAUAAUUACGCUCUAUAAAAAAAUUUAUGUUUGCUAUGACGCUUUUGAUUUGUAUAAUUCACUAGAUACAUCAAUUUUAUCCAAAAUGUUCCGUUUUGUAUAAAUUUAUUUAUAGAUUGUAUUUUGUAUAAUAAGAUAUGUAUUUGUAUAAUUAUUAGUGUAUAAAACAAAAAUAUAUGUAUUUGUAUUUACAUGCGCUUUAUACAAACAUAAACACAUUUUAUAUCAAAAUGUAUAAAAUCACAAAUUGUAUAUCGAAAAUGGCUAAUUGUAUAUCGAAUAUGUUGACAAAAAAAUGAAAUAUUUGCUGCGAAUAACAAAUAGAAUAAAUUAUGGCUAUAGAAUUUAAUUUGAAUUAAUAGUUGGGAUAAUGCACAAGUACUCCCUCAACCUAUGACCGAAAUCCCAGAGACACACUUAUACUAUACUAAGGUCCUAUUACCCCCCUGAACUUAUUUUAUAAGUAAUUUUCUACCCCUUUUUAUCCUACGUGGCACUGCUUUGAAAAAAAAAGUCAACCAUCGUUGGGCCCACAAGAUAAUGCCACGUAGGCCGAAAAUGAGUAAAAAAUUAUUAAUAAAAUAAGUUCAGGGGGGUAAUAGGACCUUAGUAUAGUAUAAGUGUGUCUCUGAGAUUUCGGGCAUAGGUUGAGGGUGUACUUGGGCAUUAUCCCUUAAUAGUUUGUUAUUUCAUACAAAUUUCCCAAAAGAAAAUCAUAUUCUUAGGUCUUUGCCCAAAUUUCAAGUUGUUGGGCUGGUAGGUCCAAAUUCCUUCAUCAUGUCCUAAUUCCCCUAAGUAGGAAAAAUUAGCAAAGUAGUCAAAAAAUUUAACAUAAUUAGUAAAACCCUCUAUACUUCAUAAAAAUUAGUAAAAAUCUCAAAAUUGUUAUGAAACUAUAUGAAAUUAGAAGACGAAUAAAGCAGGGAGAAGAGAAAGAUUUUUUAUUCAUCUUGAAGCAUAUUUAGGAUUCAUUGAUCUUCUUUACAAUGAAGGAAAAUCCUUUAUUUAUAGGGAAGACUUAACUUUGUCCCCAAGUAGGAUACGUAACCAUAUCCUAAAAGGACUCCACAUAAUUAGACAUUCACUAUAACACAAAUAUGUUUAUAACACUCCUCCUUGAAUGUCGGUAGAUUAUGUCCAGUAAGAAAAAAAUCUAGUGAAGGAAAAAUAGUACACAUAUCGAAUGAUACGCAUUAUGAAUGCCUCAUUACAAACUUUACAAGGAAAACCCAAUAGGACAAAACCUUGUGAGGAAAAAAGAGUACAUCGCGUAUUAACUCCCCCUAAUGACAACAUCAAUUCAGAAACUAGAAUCUUCGUUUUCCAAGCUUGUGCACCAUCUUCUUGAAAGUUGUACUUGGUAGAGACUUGGUGAAUAAAUCAACAACAAUAUUACUUGAACAAACCUCUUUCAUGUUGAUAUCAUCAUUCUUGGGAGCCCAUGAGUGUAGAAAAACCAUGACGAAAUAUGCUUUCUUCUAUAUCCUUUUAUGAAUUUUCCUUUUAGGUCAAAGAUUUCUCAAGUUCCUUGCUUUAACUUCUUAAGCAAAUAAUCUAUUGCCUUUGAAAACUCUUCAAGAAUUUCAAUUAUAGUUAUCAACUUACAUAACAAUACUUGUAUAUGGUCUAUGCAUUUUGAAUCUAUUUAAUCCUUAUGAGGAUGAUAAACAAGUUUUUCAAAACCUUGUAUAUGCUAGAUUUCGAACCCAUUGGAUAUUUUCAUAUUAGUUUUGUCAAGUGACAUCAUUCAAUAUUAAAUGUAUGACAUCUUCUAGUGCUUAGAUUGCAAGUCAAAUAAGUUUUAUGCUUACCAAGAUGCAUCAUUCCACUGUUCACUUGAUAAUUAUUUCUACACCAGCAUGCUUUAAUAGUCGUAGAAUUUAUAUCAUAACAAUUUUUUUACAAUAUUGCAUGCUAUUAUAUCAAAGAUAUCGUCAAUGAUAUAUCAUUUUGCAUUGAUUCACAAUACGACAUAACUUAUUGAGAUCUCAUCACUUCAUUCUUUUUACGUAGCUACCCCUCUCAUGAGGUUUCAUAAAGUGUUAUGUCGUAGGCUCCCAAAGAGCACAUUAUCUUCUUAUUAUGAUCAUUUUGAUUCUUUGAUCCUACCCAUUUUUCAAGGAUUAUUUUAUUUAGAAUUGAUUAGUCUAUCAUGUUUCAUGCAUGUCGUAGACUCUAUCCUUAAGGAACAUUCAAUAAGAGUAUUUACAACUCUUGUGUUACUUCUAUUCUCCCCUUUAUGUUAGACAAACUAACAUAUAUCUCAAUCUUUGGAGAAUCUAUCCUUGUGCAUCAAUGUAUAUUUAUUGAUUAUAUACCAUAUAUCAAAAUAAUUAGAUGAAAAAUAUUUGAUUCCCGAUCAUAAAUCAGUUGAAAGAAAAUUUGAUCAUAAUUUAUCAGUCAGAUGCGUACAAUUACUUUUGUAUUCAAUAUCGUAUUUCUUAUCAACAUAUGAAGCUUUAUUUUCAUAAACAAUGAUUUUACUAUUUGAGACAUUUAGUGUCACAUCAUUUUGAGUAUUUAUCAAUAUUAUCAAGAUAAAUUGUCUUGAUUACAUAUUCUAAAAUUUUGCUCUUAACUCAAUUAUUUUUGCACAAACAAUUUUGUGUAUGUCUAACUACAUGUUGACAACAAAAGCACAUGUGAUUAUCUUAUAGAUGCAUCUUUUUAUCAUAUCACAAGAUAGGUGAAUGGUCCCAUAUUCAGCUUUUAUACUUUUUCAGAAUUUAGGAAUUUAGUCCCAACUUUAGUUGAUCCAAUCAUCUUUAUCACGAGAACGAGCAACUAAAGAAUUCUUGAAGAAUCUUCUAGUUUUUCAAUGUAUAUCCAUUACUCAGUAUGCACAUCUUUGUGAUGACCAAAUUAUUCAUGUCAACUAAUAAAAUUAUUAGUACUCGUAAACUCCAAGUUUACUAAGUCAUGUGCCUUUUGCUUUAGUAAAUUAUGAUUUACUAUUAUAUGAAUAAAUUUCAAUUUUAUUAAUCAAAGAGUAAUUUUCAGAUUUAUUUCUUCUCAAUUACUUCACCCUUUAGGUAAGUCGUUAUUCCAUUAUUGAAUGAACUAAUCUGAAGAAAAUUGUGCAUGAAACAUAUUAUUUGUGCCAACAUUUUUGCAAACAUCAAGUUGCGAGAUAAUAAUAGGCACACAUUAGACCAUAUAGAAGAAAUAUUUAUUAGGACCAUUAAAUGUCUAAACAAUCCACUAGGUUCCUAGAACACAGAGAAUUCAAUCUCAACUUUUGUUUAUGAUGGUCUCACAAUUAGAUUGCCUUGCUAAAAAUCAUUACAACAAAACUCACCAUUUAAAAGAAUUUUUAGGUUCUUCAACGGAUGUUCAUUUUAAUUUUUCAUAAUUCGUCUAAACAUUAUAGACUAAUGAUGUCUCAGACAAUCAUGUCAAAUUAAGAAAGUAUUGAAAUUAGAAAACUUCUAAUUUAUCAUAGAAUGUGCCUCAAUUGAACUAAUUCUUGUCCAAUACAAUCCUGAAGAUAAAGUAUGAAACGUUUCUAUAAUGCAUGUCUUGUUAGAGAUAUUCUUGAUGAUACUACAUCGUUAACCAAAGGUCGCAAUUUUUUUCAUGCCCUUUAGAGAAUGAAUCUAUUUUUAGCAUUUAUCAAAAGUUCUCAUUCUUCAUGAAUGAAACACAAAUAUGUGAGCAUAUCAAAUAAAUAUAACUUUAGUACCUCAUUCCAUAUCUAUGUGCAUUAUUCAAUUACUUGUCUUCUUUCAGACAUAUUAUGCAUUACAACUACAUUUACUUUACGUAAUGGAGCAAAUUCAGUAAAAUUCAUGACUUCUCAUAAAAAACAUAUUAGUUUUUUCUUUAGUCAUUAUUAUAUCAUCAAUAUAGUGCAUUGAGACUCACAUUCAAUGUUUUCUCCAUAUAAAAGUGUCUAAUGUCAUAAAUCGAUGGAUCUUGAACCCAAUAUCUUAUCAUCAUGGUGCAUCAGGACUUUAACCCAAUAUUUUACCCUUUUUUCGCGAUUGGACAUGAAUCCACCGUCUUAUUCUUUUGGUGCGAUAAAACUUAAAUCUAUCGUCUUACCCAUAAUGAAGCUCAACCUUAAGCCUUUAAAAUAAUUGUAAUUUUAUCACUUUUGAUGAUCAUUAAUAUGAUCGUACAUUAUAAUUACACACAAAAUUGAGAUUAUUGAUUUAUUAUAAUUAACAUUAGUAGUUAAUAAAUAUAGCUUAAUAGAUCACAUAUCUGAUAUAAAGGUUGAGAACAUACCUUUCACUAAACUGUGCUUAUUUAAUUAUUAAAAUAAAUUAAGGAAUUCUCUUUCCAGUCGAUUAAAAUUAAACGUAUAGAAAAUCGACAAGUCUCUUUAAAUACUUACUUUAGAUGGUAUCUCUAGAUCUAUUACAUAAAUAAUUAUAACAUAAAGAUAAAUUAUACCUUGAAGACAUAAGAACCUUAUUACAUAACUUAUGCAAGAUCUCUUUUGCACUUUUUCCGUCUUCUUCAUCAUUCUUUUAAGAAUAGAACACUCGUGCUAAUAACGUGUUAUGAAACUAUAUGAAAUUAUAAGACGAAUAAAGUAGGGAGAAGAGAAAAGAUUUCUUAUUCAUCUUGAAGUAUAUUCAGGAUUCAUUGAUCUUCUUUACAAUGAAGGAAAAUCCUUUAUUUAUAGGGAAACUUAACUUUGUCUCAAGAAGGAUUUCUAACCAUAUCCUAAAAGGACUUCAAAUAAUUAGACAUUCACUAUAACACAAAUAUGUUUAUAAUAAAAAUGUCAUUAUUUUAGAAAUCAUUUUGUAUUCUAAUUUACUUUCUAUUUUGUUGCACCUUAAUUACACAUUUUUCAACUUUCUCUCUCAUAUUUUUUUAGAUAAAUAUUUUCUCUCUCAUAUUUACCUCUUCCAAUUAUUUUCCAUUUUUAAACUCCCACAUCACUCUCCCUCUUGUUAUUUUUAUUUUUUUUCAAAAAUUGAAAAAUAUAUUUCUAAAGAUAUUCAUAACAACCCUUUUGAUGAAGGUAUGCAUCUUUUGUAUUUUAUGUGCUCAUUUUAUCAUUAAAAUUAAAACCGAAUAUCAUAUUGAGGUGAAUAUUUUAUUGUAAUCAAUUUGUAUUUAACUCUCAUGUUGUAUACAUACAAGUUUGUAUUUCUUUUUAUUUUUGUAUUUAUCAUAAUGAUAUAUUUACAAAGUCACUUUUGUAUUUCAAUUAAAGUUAGUAUUUAUUGUGUUCAUUUUUGUAGUUCAACAACAAUUUCAAUAACAAGUCUGCAUUUCUUUAUGUGCUCACUUUACCAUUCAAAUUAAAAUUGAUAUUUACUUCAUAGUAAAAACUAAAAAUUGUAUAUCAGUGAUUAAAAAUUGUAUACAUGUCUGUCAAAUAUAUAUUUCUAUUAUUUGUAUUUUAAAAAUAUUAUUGCUUGUAUCUCAAUAUAAUCCAAUUAUUUCUUAUGAAUAUAAUUUAAGAAAUGAUACAUAACUCUAAUAAAAAAGAUAGCAUACAAAGUGAAAAUAAUACAAUCAGUUGAGGAAGAAUACAAUAUUAUUUCAAAAAAAUACAAAUUAACUCUGAAAAAGAAAUAUGAUAUUUUUAUUCUUAAGUAAUACAAAUUGAUUUGGCAUACCUAUUGAGAUAACUACAAACUAAAAAAGAAAUACAAUAUUCUUAACAAAAAUACAAAUGUUGAGCAAAAGAAAAACAUUUGACAAACAAAAAUUAAUAUGAAUACAAUCAGUCUGAAUACAAUUUCUGCAAUUUUCUAUCUUUGACUCUCCCUUUCUUCUUUGUAUACUGUGUUUUUUUCUCCAAACUCAAAUACAAAUCUGUAUUAACUUGUGCAUUAGUAAAACUCUGUUUCGUCAUUCAAAAAAAAAUAAUUACCCAAAAAAAUUGUUCAUGACAAAACUCCCAUACAAAUUAAUGAUUCAACAGUUAACAAAUACUCGAUUGAUUGUAUUUCACGGAUUAUAUCGAUGUUCCAGUUCAAAAUUCCUUCUCCAAAGUUGUUUGUCAAUGAAAUUAUACUCUUUUCCAAAAUCUUCUCCUAAAAAUGAAAUUUAAUCGAACUCACUUCAACGAAGAGGAUUUUAGUAUCGCCUCAAACAUAGGAUAGUUGAUGAUCGUGAGGACGAAUUUGAAUUUUUCCACCAGAGCUACACAUUAACUUAACCUUUGGAUUCUCCAUUGUUUCCGGUGCCAAAAUUCAUGCGAGAAUGAUGAAGAAGACAAAUGAUUUGAUUUUUUGGGAUUUUUUUAGAUUUUCUUUUUUCUGUAAAGAUGAGAGCAAAAAAAAAAGAAAUUAUUGUUGGGCUGAAUAAUAGCAAUAUGUAUAAAGUAAGAGUCUUUUUAUUUUUGUCGUCUUGCGUCGGCUGAAAAAAGCCAAAUGUACAAAAGUCGUAAAGUAAAUAGUUUGUCGGUCAAUCAUGUAAAAAGUUUGUCGGCCAAUUAUGUAAAGUAAAUAGUAUGACGGUGUAAUUUAUGUGUAUAAAUAGAGGAGCUUUCCUCAUAAAUAAAACACACCGUCAUCCUUACAUCUCUCAUCUUUCUAAAUACUCUCUCUUUACGCUUCCACCCCUCCAUUGGUAUCAGAGCUAGUUAAACAAAUAAUUAUGGAAAAGAAACCAACUAUGUUGGAAGAUCUACAAAAACAGGUAUACCAUUUUAUAUUCAUGAGUAGCUAAAUUAAUUUAUUCCUAAAAAUCUCUUGUUAAUUAUAAUUGUUUAUCAUGUUUGAAUAAUGUUAUAAUAACCAUCUUUAGAAAGUUUGCUACAGAAAUAUUUUUCGAAUAAGUAUGCCCAGACUAUGCCAUCCUAAGGUUGAAACCGGUAGGCAGAGAAGGCCGUUUAGGGGAGUAAACAAAGUUGAGGCGCUGUUAGGGUAACUAAUCAAAGAAGAAAGCUGUAGUAGUGACCAGACGAGAUGAUUAUUAAAUCAUUAUUUUUGCAUAAUAAGCAAGUAUAAUUUAUUAAGAGGUUGGAAGGAAUAAAGUUUUAGUGAAAAAUGAAAAUAAUAAAAAUGGAAACAUACCUAUUAGACAAUAAUGUUGAUUAUAAGAUAUUACUACUCUAUAUACUAAAAAAUUUGAAUACUGAUAUAAAAAGAGAAAUUUAUAAUAAAUUAUUAACAUAUGAGAUAAUAGAAAUAACAACCCAAGGUUGGACUGAGUUAACCAUACAAAGUAUACAAGAUGAGCUUUAUUAUGAUAUGUAUGAUUUAUAUGAUGAUUUAGAUAUUGGAGAUUAAAUAUGACUGAAUAUUGGCUAAGGCGAUAUGGUAGGAAUUACAGGUUAAAAAAGAUUAGAUAUCCAGAUAAAUUAAGUAAGCUUUUUAAAAUAUUAUAUAAAAAGUUAUGAUGAAUAAAAAUAAAAAUACUAAAAUAAAAAGAACUAAGAUAGAUAAAAAGGUAAGAAAAAUAUGAAAAAAAUUAAGAUCUUUAUAUAUAGAAUAUGAACUAUCACAACUAGUCAAAACAGAUAAUGAUAGAAAAGAUCAAUUGAUAAACAUAAUUUCAAAAAUAGAAUAUAAAUAUGUCUGCUAUUUGAAAAAACAGUAUGAACAGAGAAAUCUAUAAACAACAAUUAAUAGAAGAAAUAAUGUAAAAUAAUGGUUGAAAAAGAACAAGAAUUACAACAUAGAAAAAGAAGAUUAGAAGAAAACAUAUUAGCAGGAGUAUGUAAUAAAUCACUACUAGCACAAAGAAAAGAUAUAUCCAUGUUAAAAUUAGAAUUAGAUUGUCUUGAAUAUGAGUUACAGCAUAAUAUAAUGCAUAGAUUAUAAUAAAUAAAGAAGAAUUUGCAGUAGACGAAAAAACAUACGAAAAUCAAGACGGAAUGAUAAUAAAAAUAAUAUUUUUUCAAAUCUAGGAAGAAGAUAUAAAAAAAUAGGAAAUAAUUUAUACUUAAUGUUAGAAAAAGAAACGGCAAAAUUAGAAGAUAGUUUAACAGCUAUGGUAAGAAUAACAAAAGAAAAUGAAGAAAUAGAUAAAUCAAGAGAAAUUGAAAAAAUAAAAACACAAGCAAAACAAGAAGUACAAAAUUUAGAAGAAAUAAAAAAUACAAGAAUAAGUGAAUUAGAAAAAGAAUUAUCUAGGUUAAAAUUAUUAUAUGAAAAUAAACAAAAACAAAAAGAUAAAGAGCUAGAAUUAACAAAUGAAAUAAAACAAAUGGAACAGAAACUAAAUGAAGAUCUAAAAGAUCUAAAUGAAGAUAUUGAAGUAAAUGAAAUAGACGGAAAUGAAAAUGACCAACAAUCAGAAAUAAGUGAUAUAAGUGAAACAUAUAUAGAAAUUCUAGAACAGAUAAAUAAACCAAAAAAAUUAGAAAUAAACACAGGAGAUAUGAAUAGACCUAGUACGUCAAGAGUAAAAACCCCAGAUAAUAGUCCCAGAAAUAGCCCUAGAAGUAGUCCUAGGUGGACACCACCAACUUAUUAUACAGAAAGUUAUCAACAAUCAGAUAGAAAUAAUGCAAUAUGGAACAGUAGAUUAAAUAAGAAUUGGAUACCGAAACCAAUAAGUGAACAAUAUAAUUUCUUAGAAUUAGAUUGCGUCACAGACAUAAAUAAAGCAAUAUUACUAUGGACAGGAAAUAUAUCCAAGCAGUUAAUAGAUAAUAAAAUAGAAACAACAAAAACACCAAGAUAUAUAGAAAGAACAUUCGUAGAAACGACAAAAUUAUGGAUAGAAAAUCUACCCCCAGAAAGUUUAGAAGUACUUAGAAAUGAUAAGAAAAUGGAUGGAUCCCCAUCAGCAACAAAUAUAGAUAUACUAGAUAAAUAUGAAUCAGCAAUAAGAAAUGAAUUUGGAGGCAUGACUACAGAUAUAAGAGAACAAAAUAGAGAAAAAAUAAUAAAUAGACAACUUAUGACAAAAUUAGCUAUAUGUAAAAUGUGUUACUUAGAAGAAUAUACUUGCGCAUUUAAAGAAUAUUAUUACAAAGCUAAAUACAAUUUAGACGAAGCAAAAGAAAUAAGAAAACAAUAUUAUACAAAAUUACCAGAACCAUUUAGUACAAACGUAAUAAAGGAUUGGGAUAAUGAAGGAAUGGUAGAUACUUUAGGAUCUAGAAUAAAAUUUUUAAAUCAAUGGUUCAUACAACUAUGUGAAAACCAAAAAGAAAAAUUAAAAAUGGAAAAAGUAUUAAAUAAAAAUUUAUCAUGUUGUAAAAAUAAAAUGACACCACAAUUUGGAUGCACAACUAAAAAACAAAAAUCUAAAAGAUAUAAAAAUUAUAGAAAAAACAAAACUAUAUAUAAAUAUAAACAACCAAGACGAAGGUAUUAUGUAAAAAAUCAUAAAAUAAAAAGACCAUACAGACCAAAAAGAAAAAUAUCACAAUGUACUUGUUAUAAUUGUGGAAAGAUAGGACACAUAGCUAAAGAUUGUAAAUUACCCAAAAAUCCAAAAAGAAAACAAGUAGCAGAAUUAAUUAUAGACAAUGAAAAAUAUAUGCAAAUAGAGUACAUAGAUUAUGAAUUAAGUGAAAAUGAUAGUAUAUAUGAAGUAUCAGACAUAGAAACUGAGAAUGAAGAAGAAAAUAUUAACAUAGAUAAUAACGAAAUAGAUGAAGAAAUAUAAUGACUGAAAAUGAAAUAAAAAUAAUAUCUAAGGAAGAAUAUCAAGAUGAAGAAUCAUCAUAACAGAAAAUUAUAUUUGAUAAUACGAUAUUUGAACAAAUAAAAGGAAAAGAAUUAGAUUUAAGUGUUGAAAAAGUACUAGAAAUACCUAUUUUAAGAAAUUGGUUUAAAAGACAAAAAGAAGAAUACUAUGUAGUUAGUCAAAAAGAACAUAUCAUAGAUUGUAAAUACACAAGAGGAAAAGCAUAUAUACCUAUAAUAAAUAAAAGAAUGAUAAACAAAGAAAUACAAGAUAUAAAAGCUAAAACACCAAUAAAAUAUGUACAUUUAGGAGGAACAGAAAUAUUAAUAAAAGCCUGCUUUAGAGAAGGAAUAGAUACACCUAUAGAAAUAUAUUUAGCAGAUGAUAGAAUUGUACACCCUAUAGAAAAAAGCAUAAUUAGUGCAGUAAAAGGAAACUUAAUAUAUCAAAAAUUUAAAUUUACAAUAAGUGCUAAUUAUAUAGUAUCAUUAACAGAUAAAAAUAUAGAUAGAUCAUUAGUUCUAUAUUGGAAAAUGUCUGGAAUAGAACUAGCACCAGGGAGCAAAUUAUUUACAGCAAGAUGUAAAAAUUUAUAUAUAUUAACAACAAAGCAUAAAAUAACAGCAAGAAAUAAAAUUAAUAAAAUAAAAAUAGAAAAUCCUUUUGAAAAAAUAAUUACUGUAGUAGACAAUAAUGACUAUAGCUAUAAAGAAAUUGAUAUAGAAGAAGAUUUAGAGAUAGUAAAAGAAAGAUUAAGCACUUCAAGCGUACCAAAUACAUUGACAAGAGCUACUUCAUCAAGGAUGAGUACAUCUAAAAGAAAAUAUGAAAUUCCACAAAGCUUAUUAGAUAAAGAAGAAAUAACACCAUAUCAUUAUUUCAUAACAGGAAUAAUAGACCAAAGAAAAUAUAAAAUAUUAAAUAAAUACAGGACAAGAAGAAAAUUAUAUAACAAGAGAGUUAGUAUUAGAAGAAGAAAUUAUAAGAACAGGACAUACAUGCCCUAGACUACCUAGUGAGAUAGUGAACACGAAUGAAGAAACAACAGAAAAAGGAAUAAUUAUAGGAGGAAUACCCUUAGUAAUACAAUUUAAAAUAUACCUGUAUUUUUUACUAUAUGUAUAAAUUUUUCCAAUAAUCUUAUAUGUUCAUCUUGUGUUCUAGAAUAUAACAAUAUGUCAUCUAUAUAUACGAUACAGUUUUCUAGUUGGUUAAAACAGCUAUCCAUAAAAUGUUGGAAUCUACCUGGUGCAUUUUUAUAUCCAAAAGGUAAAACAUUCCAUUCAUAGAAACCUUGCGGUACUGUGAAUGCUGUUAAUUGUUUGGAUUCUUCUUCUAGUUUUAGGUGGUAAAAUCCUGAUUUGCAGUCAAAUUUGCUAAAAUAAUUAUAUCCUUGUAUUUGUCUUAUUUUUAGUAUUUUGUUCGGUAUAGGAUAAUUGUAUGUUUUAGUUUUAGCAUUUAGAUUACGAUAAUCUAUGACCAUUCUACUUUUACCUCUUUUUUGUUCACUGUGUUUUAUUACUAUAAAUGCUGGACUUGUAUGUUUACUAUUGCUUUUUUGUAUGUAAUUAUUUUCUAACAAUUCAUUUAUAUGUAUUUUAAAUUCUUCUAGAUCAUCAAAGUUAUAUUUUAAUGGUUUCUGUGUUAUUAUACUAUUUUCAUCUAUUAAUUCAAUUUUUACUUUUGUCUUAUGUUUUUCCCAUCCUUGUAAUGGAUCUUCACUAUAUAAUUGUUCUAGUUGUUCAUUAAUUAAUUUGACUUUGUCUAUAGCAAAUAUAAUAAUUUCUAAUUGCGUUAUUUGUUUAUUAUUUAUAUUUUCCAUUUCUUGGUUUAUCUUUUCACUUCCUUUUAUCCAUUCCAUAGGUUUUCGUUGUUUACUAUUUACUCUUUUUGCUCCUAUCUUAUUUCCGCACGGUGUAGUAAGCCACCAAUGUGUUUUUGUUAUUAUGUGUGGAUAAUAUCUAUCUAGAAAUGGCAUUCCUAAUAACAUAUCUUUUGUAGUAAAUUCAAAAUUAUACAUUUCUUCUAUUGUUAGUAUUUUAUCCCAUAUUUGUAUUUUUAUAUUUUUUGCUUUGUAUUUAAUCAUACUUCCUUCAUUGUUAAAUCCCGUUACUACCAUAGGUGUUUUUAAUUUUUCCCAUUUAUCUUCUGGUAAGCAAUUAUAUUUACAUAUAUUCGCUUCUGCUCCUGUAUCUAUCAUACAGGUAUAAUAUCUGUUGUGAUAUCCUUCUACUAUAAUUUUUGCAAGUAUAAAUAUUUUCAUUAAUCAUUUUGUCCUUUUUAUAAUUAUUUUCUUAUUUUGACAAGUUAUUGUUAAUUGUUCAGAUUCAUUUCUUCGAAUAUUAAUAUAGCUUGGAUACCAACGUCAUACACUUCUUAUAUUUUUAGUUUUUAUCUUAGAUUAUGAAGUAAAAAAACAAUCAUAUAUGAAUUGGAUACCAAUUUUAUACAAAUUGAAUUUGUAUUCUAUGACACUCUUAUUUCAUGUAAUCUAAAUUAUUGUAUAUUUGGUUUUCAAUUAAUGUUCAAAACUAAAACUGUUUAAUAUGAACCCAACUAGCAUGCAGUUUUUAUAUAAUUGGGAUCCUAGAAUUACAAUGCACAAUCUGUAAUUCACAUGUCAAGUUUAACAAUGAACAUACAUUAUUUGGUACUAUGUUUAUGAUGUUUUUUCAAACUUAAGUCCAAUAAAAAUAUUGAUAUCCAUACUGUGUAUUGUUAGUAUCCAACUUGAGAAAAUAGUGCAUUUUAUAUAUAGUUGGAAGUAAAAAAGAAUAUUAUACAUCAUCCAAAACAUAAAACAGUAGGAAAAAACAAAUAUAUAUCAUUCAAAACUAAAAAAAACUUCUAAUACUUAAGAGUCUAAGCUCCAAUCAACUAUCUCAAAUUAGAUUUUUGUGAUUUUGGCGUAGGAUCAUUACUGGUAUUCGGGGCAUGUUCUUUUACUAUGUGGGAUCCACCAAAUUUGUUAGCAAUAAUUUCAGUUACUUCACUGUCACUAAUCGCACCAUCAUCGUUCUUUGUUUUUCAGCACUACCAUAUCAUUGUGAUGUACUUCUGACGAUGAUACUUCGCAUCGAUUUAAUGGAACCCAUAUUAAAAUUUUCAUUGCUAAUAUAUUCAGCAAAUAAACAUGUGUACAUACCACGAUCACGAAAACAAAAAUGAAAAAAAAAUCAAGAAAUAAAGUGAAUUAAUUUUUAUAACGAAUCACUAAAAUAUAUAGAAGUACAUACUUUGAAUGAGUUUUAUUGAGGCACAUUUGUCAGAUAAAUGACUUCAAGUAUUUAGACAGUUUCAUAUGAAUAUUAUUCAUGUUUCAUACCACAUUCACAUAAAGACAGUAGUUAGAUGACAAACUUCAUACAAAUAUUAAGACAGUUUCAUACUGAUAUUAUAACAGUUCCAUACCACAUUCGUAAACAAAUAUGUGAGAUUUUGAAUAAUAACUUCCCUGCUAAAAGGUGUAUCAACUUCAUAUCAAAAUUAAAUCAUUCUCAUACCAAUGUUAAAACAUAUUACAUACACAUUCCUAAACCAAUAUUAAGAUAUUUUUAUACUAAUAUUAUUCAUCUUUCACUUCACAUUCAUAGACAUAAUGAAAAUUUUUGAAUAAUUUUCCUUCUAAAAGUUAUACCAAGUUCAUAUCAAACUUAAAUAAGUUUCAUACAAAUGUUAAGCAUAAUGCAUACCACAUUCCUUAACCAAUAGUAAGUCAUAUUCAUACCAAUCUUAAACAUGCUUCAUACCUUUUUUAAUAAAAAUAAUAACCAAAUUAAUAUCAAUUCCAUGAUAGUAACUAUACGUAUGUAUGCUUAUGCCACAGAAAUUUCAUGUCAAACACUAAAACAAAAUUCAUGCCACAAAUAAUAUCCAUAGAUAAACUGUUGUAUCAAAAAUUCAACUAAAUUUAAUUAUUGAAAUAAUAGAUUAAAUAAAAAAUAUUUAAUCUAACCACUUUUUUUCCCUUUUUUUUUUUUUGGAUUUCCGAAGCCUCCUUCAUAAAUUGGGUUUCCUUAUUCUUUCCUGUAAUUUGCUUCUUAUUGUGAGAAAUACCAACCGUUUUCGCUAGAGUUGCAUUCUUGUUAUGUGGUGGCGUUUGAGUCAAUAUGUUAAACGUCGGGACUCUAUUUCAACCGUAGAACUCACUUCUACUAAUCUGGUACUCUUUCUAGAAGUAUGCUUUGGUUUCUUUGACAUGUUUUAAUUAAAUUCUUGAAAAACUUGAUUCUUAGUAUUGCGAAAUUAUCCUUCUGAUUUACGAGGUGAUAUUGAGAUAUAGAAGCGAUUUGAAUGAAAGAUGAUUGAUGAGGUAAAAGAGGAAUGGAUAAUUUUUACAACAAAAAAUUUUACUUUUUGAACGUGGAGGUGGUGAGUUACUGACUAGAAGAGGCGUGAUGAAAUUAGGGUGUGGAUUUGACGUGUAAAGGUAAAAAAGAGAUGAUUAUGGUAGAUUAUUUAUUUAUAUCAUUUAAUAAUAAAUAUAAAAUCAUAAAAUACUAUUUAUUUACUAAAGUAAAAAUUUAAUUGAUUUUUAAAAAAAUGUGAUUUGUUAUAACCGGUAAUUAAACUUUUAUAUGCAAUAAUAUUUUAAAAGUAGCUUUAAAACAUGUAGUAUUGUAUCGUGGGGUGAUUUUUCCUUUAUAUAUUAACAAGGUUAAGAAAACAAUUACCAUUCAUAGGGACGUCAAAAAUGAGUCCAACUAUAGAUAAUCCGUCCAUAAUUUUAAAGGUUGAGCGCAAGAUAAUUUGAAUUGGGUUCAAUCUCAACCCAUCAAGUCUUAACCCAAUUUAAAAAAAUUUUUAUUUGAUCAUAAUUUAAUCUCCAAUUUCAAUCCAUAUUAAGACUUUUUAUUUUCAAUGAUGUAAUGUAUGUCACUUAUUCACUAUAUUAAAGGUAUGAAUUACUAUCUAUUUUAAAUCUUUUAGGAUUUAAUUAUCCAUUUAUAACUUUUUUUUAUUAAAAAAAAUGUUGAGUUGAAAUUUGUAUUGUGAUUUUAAAACUUAAAUAACAAUAUAUGAAAAUUGUUGAGAUUAUCCGUUUGAGUUAAAAGGAAAUUUGAACAGGUCAAAUCCCAACUUAAUUUCUAUAUCAAUUUUUUUUUAAUACCUUUUAUUUCAACCAGCUCUAACAAUUCAAUACAGUACUGAAGCAAUUCCUAAGGCUACUGUUAAUGCACAAGGAUGAGAUCAGAUUAUUUUUGAUAAUGUAUAAAAGGGUAAUGUAUUAGUUUUAUCAGGGAAAUGGAAUGAGAUACGCACUGCGAACACAUAUUUGAAAAAUAAACUUCUAGUAUUCAAGCAAUCUUAAAGCUCAGAAUUCGGAACAAUGUAGAAAAUGACUCAAACCAGUUUGUCGGCUUUCAGAAAAACAAUAGGAAGGUACAAAAAUUAAACUAGAUAAAGCUUUUGAAGAAGAUAGUGACCCAUCACAAAAAUCAGAAUCACAACUAGACAUGUGCAUCUAAGAGAAAAAUUAAACUGAAUUGAAUAUGUCACCAAGUUCACAUUAGUCUGUAAAGAAACGAUAAUCGAAAUAUCACCUUUAUCAUUUAGGCAUUUCAAACAAUUUUAACACAUAACUAAGGUACCACACAUGCAUAUAUCUACGAGAACUCGAUAAGGACAAACUUCAAAAGGUCAAAAAUAUAAAUAGGCCAACAUGCUAAAUCAAUCAUAAAAGAGAAGUGGGUAGGAGCUUUGAAAGAGAACAAUAACUGAAAACAUUCUGAUAUUUGAAUGUCACAAGACCUCACAUUUUAAGUCAUAAGUAAUUCAAAAGUUGACAUGAUACAUCCAUAAAGGCCAAAAAAAAAAAAAGAGUAGUAGUGAUCGGAAAUCAUCCCCCAACAUCCAUACAUACAUAUUCAAAUCAUGUUCAACAAACGAAAGACUAAAACUUCAAUCACACGAGGAAUCCCGGUACUUACUUAAAAAACAAACAUCAAGACAAACUACAAACUAAACAAACCAAACAUAACCUAUUUAAGAAGAAAUUCUAAAAAGUGUAAAGUUCCAUACCUUUUCUUGAGCAGAGAGUCGGGGCAACGAGUUGUAAGUAGACUUGUUAAUAUAUGGCAUACGACCCUAAAUAAACCCCAAAAGAUAGGUCAAGAGGGAGGUUUAUCCAAGUCCAUAUAAGGAGACCAAAUUCUCAUCCCUUUACUGAUAUUGGACAUCUUAACAUUUCCCCGCACGCCUAGACUUCGACGGGAGAGUGAACACUUCUAAAUAUAGGCCAUCAUCGGUGAACAACAAAUGUUGAUAGAUCAGAUCCCGAUACCAUGUUAAUAUAUGACACCUUAGCCUAACUCGACUAACUCAUACCACCAACGAAAUUUCGCAGGAAUUGCCUUCAAGUUCGAACAGCGAAGAUUUGUGGAUUUUUACUUCUAAAUUAACUAAGUUGUUUUAAGGGAGUUUCCCUUUUCUAAAACUUAUGGUAUUGGAGAUGAAAUUUGUGUUCUUGGAGUAAGAAUUUGUGCCAUAGCGAGUCUAAUAAUCUCCUUGCAAUAGAGAAAGGAGAUUAGUUUUAUAGGAGAGAUUUAGGACAGAAUUUUGAGGGGGUGUGUGAGAAAUAGAAUUUCGAAUUAGAAUUUGCAUUCCAAUUUCAAAUUCUCUUGAAGAUAUAUGUUUCAUUAGUUGGAAUUAGUACAAAUACUAAACGGAUUUUUUAAGGGAGCCAUAUGAUCUAGAGCAAGGACAUCCAAGCACAUGAGAUUGAGACACCUACAAUAUUCUCCAACGUUCUUCGUACGGAGAAAAUAAGACAAAGGACACGCGCUGGGCCAUGAAACCGCUGAACUGCGUUCUGGAUUCUUUAAGUAAAGAAGUAAAACGUAUUUAAGGGUAUUUUGGUAGUGCUAUAUGUAUUGUACGUUGGUGUAUAGUGAGUUGGGUUGCUGCAACCCCCGAAAACAAAAUCAAAGAAUGCACUCAUUCAAUUAAACCUAGACCCAUAAGACACAUGCCCUCAGGCUACUCAAACUUCUCUCGGUUUGGUCAAAUUUGGACAAUUUGACGACUUACACCAUUAGAAUGAGAUUACACGCUCCAUCAUCGGGCAAAAUGCGUCAUUUAGUACAAAUGCGAGUUACUCAUACUUCACCCUACUAAACCCAACAUUAAUUACACACAACCCAACAAUUUUGAUCGAUUUUAAGCACAAGAAUCGAGAAAUCAACAAUUAAUCAUUUUAGGCAAGAUAUUCAAAUCAAAUUUGACAAAUAAGAACACAAUCAUGGAUUAGAGAGGCCCACCACACAUCCCUAGAAUCUAAACUAUUACAAAAGAGUAAAAUAACUAAAUAUAAAUUUGGAUUCGGAAAACCAACCUUUUAUGAUGAAUAUACGAUUUGAAAAGCUAAGAGGCAAAGAAUCCAACUCCAAACACACAAUUGACGACUAGCAAGUAGUAAAACACAAAAAAAUACGAGAAAGUAUAGCGCGAAUGUGAAGUUUAAAAGUGAGGGAAUAUAAAAGAGUUUGAAAGUUUGAACCUUUUGGCUUUUAAAUUUGUCCAGUUAUCACUCAUUCGACGACAUUAGUUUUUCUCGCCGACCCACUCGGCGACACAUCGAGUGGCACUUACCUUGCUGAGUUUUAUAGGACCUCCAGUGAAUGUGGGGGUCCAAACAGUUGACAAAGUUGAGAUCCCCAACUCGUUUGGUGACAAGCCAAUUUUCUCCUAGGCUCGCAGAGUUUUAUAGACUCCAAUUAGAUAAUUUCUAGAGCCCAACGGCGAUCAAAGUCAAGCUCACCGACCUCUUUGUCACUUCAUUGAUUGGACAUGUUGCUCGCCAACCUGCACUUUUCGAAUACAUUCCACACUUCAAUAUGCAAAAUCCAUAUACGGUUAUUUCACAAACAAAAAUAAAGCAAAAAAUCUAGGGUUGCCUCCCAAGAAGAACUUAAGUUAACGUUGUGGCACGAUGCAAGUCCCCACUUAGGUUUCAUUCUUGGGGUUUGCUUCAGUAUGCAUAUGUAAUUUUCUUUACUUUGGGCAGAGACAAGACAACACCUAACUCAUUUGGGUCUCCAAUAGUUGAAUGAACAUGGAAUGAGAGGUUGCCAUUUGAUUUAGCAUUGAGACAUUCUCUCUGAUCUCUCUCAACACUCUGUUGUGUUCUUCAGCUUUAUGAUGAAUGAGUAAGAGUACCUCUUCUAUCUUCCCACCCUUAUACUACUUUGUCCUUCGACGCUUGUGAGGGGAAAUGUACCUAUCUUUUCUUUGGUACAUUACUUUGAGCUCCAUGACCUUUUUGGCAAAGAGAGCCAAGUGAUCCAACAAUGUGUCCAAAUAUUGGUCCUCUCCGUCUCCUUGUUGGUCUUAGCCACACAAUCAAGGAGUUGGGUUGUUGUUUCAUAAGGUUGUCAUAUCAAACAGCUUGAAUAGAGUUGAUCAUCCAAUAUUCUAUAUUCAGGACCUAGACCUCUAUAGAAGCAUUCUAGAAGCACUGUAUCUGAAAUUCCAUUUGUUGGGCAAUGCUACAAAAGGGCCUUAAAUCUUUGCCACUACUCAUGAAUUGAUUCACCCUCCAAUUCAGUGAAAAUUAGGAUGUUAUCCCUAAGAAUCAUCAUUCUCAAAUAAGGGACCCAUUGGGUUAUCGUUGCUACAAGACAUGCUCUUUGCUUAUGCUACAAUCAAAAAUACUGAAACAAAAAUGAAAAAUAAGUAGAUUUAACUAUGACUAAAAAGAACAAAAUUCAACUUAACCAAAAGAAUCUUAACCAACAUCACCCCACUGCAGUGCCACCAUCUUGAUUAAAUAACACUAUCAAAGAUACGUAAUACAGUUCUAAGCAUCAACUAUUGUUGGUCAGUAUAUAACCCAAUUAAAUGAGUUGGGGUCAAAUCCCAGAGGGAGCGGUACAUAUUUAAGAUUCAAUAGAAAGUUUGAAAAAAUUCAAAUUAGACAUAGGAAUAGACAUUAUUAAAUAAAAACAUAAUUCAAAUAAGAGGGUGACACGAAUGUCAAAUAAGGGGUUCAAGUUUUGAUUAUAACCUACAAAAGCAACAAUAAUGUGACAAGUUCUUGGGAUGUGAUUCGAUUAUAGGAUAAUAUAGACAAAUGUAUAAUUGCAAUUAUUAUGAAAUAGAUGAAUAUUAGCGAGUAAGCUAGACUGUAGAAGAGGUAAACUUUCUCUUGAACAAUUUAUCCCCAAUCAAGCCGAUUUCUCUCGAACACCUAUAAGCAUGAAAAUAAGAACAACAUACGCCUUAGUCCAUUCACUCUCUCGAGAUGAAUGUGUGGAAAAUGGUUUAGGAUUCACUCUCUCGAGAUGAACCCAUGACAACCCAAUACCUACUGACCAUCAAUCAAUAAUCUUAAUUAUAAAACCUCUCUCUUGAGCAAGCGAAAGACACGAAGGUAGAAUUGCAUUUGCAACUACAAUUCUUAAGUUAAACCAUAAUUAUUGAAUAAACUCACUUCUAAACAACAUCUUAGGCUAACAAUUAACAAUAUCCAUAAACUAAAUCAGCCCAUAAUCACAUAAUAACACCCCACAAAUUGGGGUUAUAGCUAAACAUCAUAAAAAGAUAAAAUAUUUACCCAAUUGUGUUUCUAUCAACUAGGUAAGAUUAAUUUCGUCUUUACGAUGGACCAAUUCGACGAAUCUCAAAGACUCACUUCCAAUUUAUCAAAAGUGAAAAACUUCCACUCUUCAAAGUUAAAAGGAAACUAUAUAAAAAAAAUUGUUAAACUUUCGAAGAAGAAUUCUGAUAUGAAUUAAGAUAAAACUUUGAUGCUAAACUAAUUGUUCAAAAAAGUAUUUAUAGUCGCCAAAAAUAUGCUGCGAAGGACAAUUCGACACAGUAAGUCGGUUUCGCUGAUCCUCAGUGAUCCGCCCUUUGGUCAAUUUCAUCUCCCUUUUGCGUUAAACUUCAGCAUCCUCCAACUCUGUAACAUCGGGCGGUCCAACACUACACCGCGGAACCUCUUGGAGAUUCGCCAAAUGUUCUUUUUUCUCUACAAAUUGGUUCUUUCCUUCAGGGGUUAGUACAUUGGAACUUUAGACGGCCAAAUGUCCACUCGGUUACCAAAUGGGUUGGAAAUCACCAUACUCACUUUUCUACAUUCUUUGAGCUCAAUCUAUUCCUUUUUGCAAAUUAGUGUCCUUGUUUUGUUCCUCAAUCCAUAUACAUAGAAAUCAAGGGGUUUACAUUAGAAUUUGCACAAAAUUAGCAUUUGAGAAUCCCUAAAUAAGUCCAAAUCUAUUACUCAUCAUACUUUACCUCAAUCCUAUGGAUGUUAGUGUAGGAGGUGGGAAUCACGUCCUUUAUUCUACCCGAGCUUGUCUGCACAACUCGAUAUUCAAUAUCAGAAAAGGGAGGGAGCUUGGCGCUACUUGUCCCUCAUGACCAUCUCCUAUGCAAUAAUUACCCCUAAAUUCAGCUUUGUUUUAUCAAUAAUGCAACCAAGACAUGAUGAUUUUGCAUGGCGAAGAAUCCACUCACUCUGGGAUGGCAUGAUAGUACUGCUAAUGAAGCUAAACCAGAACAUUGCUACGAUAAUAAGGUCCUUCUUCUCAAUAAGCACUCUAACUUUAAUCCAUUUAGGAGCACUAUCAUAUAUUAUAAGAGAUCGCCACUUUUUCAUAUUUUCCAACGUCUUCAUCCUGAUCAUGUACUGACACACAUACUCAAUCUCUUGGAACACUCCAAGACUGCAUUGAUAACAUCGUUAUCAUACUUCACUUUUCAACCCCUAACAACCACAUAGUCGACUAACUUGAACUUGGAGACCUGCUUCUUUCCGUGUGGCACUACGGCUCCAUAUGUGGUGUAAAAUUCCCAAACCCAAGUUGGAACAUGAGGGACUCGAGAUCGAGUGAACAACUAGAACUUGUGAGACCUCAAACAGCUCAUGAUCUCUGGGUAUCUCUCAAUAACUUCAUUAGUAGACAACCUCUUCACUUCGAUAAUGGUCCUUAAUCCCUAAGUCUUCAAUUUGUUCAUAAACCUAAGAAGAGGACCCUAUGCAGCUGGUGAUGGAACCACAACGUGUGCUCGAGCAAGGGGAGUAGUAGAGCCUGGGUGUCUUAUUCCUAGAUAGAUCAUUCAACUACUUGAAUUGCAGCUCCGUCAUACCUAAGAAUCAUCAAUCUCAAAAGAGGGUGGUCCAUGGGGUCACCAUUGCUAUAAGAUAUUCUCAUCUCUUUUGAUUCAACACAACAACACACAAACCAAAACUAAAAAUAAGUCGAUUAAACUAUGACUAAAAAGAAACAAAUUCAACUUCACAAAAAACUCUCAAACAACACCACUCCAAGGCACUGGCGCCAUUUUGACUAACAUUACAAGGAUACUUUAUCCAUUUUAAGUGUCAAUGACAGCUAGUCAGUAUAAAACCCAACUAAAUGAGUUGAUCAAAUCCCACAAGGAGCACUACGUAUUUCAGAAUCAAUUGAGAAGAAUGAAUCUGGUCAAGUCAAUCAUAAGAAUAGACAUUAUCAAAUGAAAACAUAAUUCAAGCUAGGGGAUGACAUAAAUGUCAAAUAAUAAGGGGGUUUGGGUUUAAAAUUAUCAACUACAACAACAACAAAUAAUACAAAAUACAAUAAUGAGACUGGUUCUAGGGAUGUAAUUCGAUUAUAGGCUAAUAUAAAUAAAUUGGUAAUUGCAACUGUUAGGAAAUAAUUUUAUAUUAAUGAUUAAGCUAAUCCAUAGAGGGAAUAAAGUUUCUCUCAACAAUUUACCUCGAGUCAAGUUGAUUUCUCUUAUAUAUCAAUAGCAAGCAAAAUAAAACCAGCCUACACCUUAGUUUAUUCACUCUCUCGAACUGAAUAUCUGAGAUUAAGUUUAGGAUUCACUCUCUCAAGUUGAACCCAUGUCAACCCAAUACCCAAUGACCAUAAACCAAUAUGUUUGGUUUUAAAACCUCUCUGUCAAGCAAGCUAAAAAUACAAAGGUGGAAGUAUAUUUACAAAUACAAUUCUUAAAUUAAACAACAAUUACUAAUUAAAUUCACUUUUAAACAAUAUUCAAACUAACAAUUAGCAAUACUUAUAUACCAAACCAGCCCAUAAUCACAUAAUAACACCCUAAGAAUUGAUAUUUUAGCAAGACACUAUAAAAAUAUAAAAAUUGUUACGUUUGCUAACUGCGUAAGAUUGAUUUUGUUCUUACAAUAUUCCAAUUCGAAGAAUCUCAAAGACCCACUUCCAAUUUCUUGAAAGUGGAUAACUUCUAUCAUCCAAAGAUUAGGUAAAACUAGGAAAAACUUGUCUCAAUACUUAAAAAUUUAAUGCCAAACACGUAGAACUGAAAAUUCAAUAAUAAUCUCAUCCUAAACUAAAUGUUCAAAAAUGUAUUUAUAGUCGCCAAUAAUAUAUUGCGAAGGGUCAUUCGAUGCAGUUAGUCAGGCUUGUUGAUCCACUCGAUAGUCCGCCCCUUGGUCUAUAUUCUCGCCCUUAUGCCUUGGCCUUCAUGUUCCUCAAGGUCUAUAACUUGGGGAAAUCCAACACUGCAUCGCGGAACCACUCGAAGAUCCAUCGGCACUCCUUUCUCUUUCCAACUUAGUUUUCUUCGUCAAGGCUAUGGUAUACUGGAACUUUAGGGGGUUAAAUAGCCAUUUGGCGACUCACUAAGUGGACUAGGCGAUUAUUAGGCUUUCUUUUCCCCGCUCUUUCAGCUCGCUUCAUUCCUUUUUGCAAAUUAGCAUCCUUGCUUGGUUCCUCAAUCGGUAUACCUAGAAUUAAGAGUCUUACAUCAGUUAUUGGUAUAAAUUAAGAAUUUGAGGACAUAAAAUCAUUGUAAAUAAAUCCCUAAAUGAGUCCAAAUCUCAGACUCAUCACAAUGAUAUCAUCACUUCUGAUAAUAUAAUACGGUUGGCCCCCUUAGUGGUUUGAAUACAUACAAUGGUAAUCUUGGAAUUUUGAAUAGAUAAUGGCCCUCUAGACAAUUUUAAUAUAUAAUGGCCCUCCUGGCAUUUGAAGAUGUAAUGUCCCUCUUGGCAUUUGAAGAUGUAAUGUGCCUCUUGGCAUUUUGAAUACAUGAUUCCCCUCCCAAUGGUUUGAAUAUGUAAUGACUCUAUUGGAGUUGAAAAUGUAAUGUCCUUAUUGGCAUUUUGAAUAUACGAUGGCCCUCCCGAAGGUUUGAAUAUGUAAUGGACGUCUUGGCAUUGUUAUUAACUUCUUUGGUAAUACGACAUGAAUGACACUUCCCUUGAUAAAUAUGAUGUCCCACUAGGUGGUGGUAUUAUCUCAUUUGUUAAUACUGUAGAAAUGUCCCUCUGAGUGGUAGUAUUAUCUUAUUGUAAUACUAUAGAAAUGUAUAAGACAAUUUUCCACUGGGUGGUUCACAUUACCGCGUCUGGAUAUAAAUGAGAUUUUUUAAAAUUCUUCAAACAUUCUUGAUGAUAAAAAAUGUAAUUUGAUGCCAUUGUAAAUGUUUGUACAUAUUGAGAGUGAUGCUUUCACUUGUUCAUAUUUUGAAUAUCUUGUGUUCAUUGCGACUCAUGCUUUGUUAGAGAUUUGAACGAGGUGUUGUUAUUCAUAUUCUGAACUAUUUAUUUUUCUUAUUAAGAACUUCAACAACUUUCUUGUACCUACAAGAAGAUUGUCAAUCAUAUAGACAUGUAUCCACAAACAAACUGUUAGUUUUCAAAACUAACUGGUCUGUGUUGAUUUCUUCAAUCGCUUGCUCCUUGUCUUGCUAUCUUCAGUUGAUCAAUUUGAUCUCUUGCUUUUGGAUAGACAUAAAAUGAAAUUAUACAAAAUAUUUGACAUAUUAAUACAUUUGUAAGGAAAAAGAAUUUUUCGAGAACUAAUUUGGAAAAGGUCACUAUAAAAUGUCAUGUCAUGCAUAGCUUAAGUGGAUGUCCUUGGUUAAAAACUUUUGACGUGUUCGAUAGCUUGUCCUAAAGAAUUAAAAUGAUGCUGAAUCUUGAAAAAUUUCUAACAUGGUCCUCUCGAAAUAUAUUAUAAUUCUGAAGUUUUGCAACUGGCUCUGAAAUACAAUGGUGUCGGAGAUUGCUGAAGUUGACUAUGAAUUUUAACGAUGUUAGAGAUCAUUUGGAGUUAGCUCUAAACUUCUAAUCCUGCUCCAAAUUGAUGCAUGAGGAAAUUUUUGAGGUCAUUCUCAAAAUAUGUUGUCCUGGUUAGAUGUGUUCGAGUAACUCGAAUUGUUGAUAUAUGACAUGUAGAAUUUUUUAGACCCUUUCAAUAAUUUUCUUCUAGUUGCAACUCAAAAUGUAUUAUCUCUCUCUUUAGAAUUUUAGAGUCCCUCUCAUAAAUUCUAUCCUAGUUUCCAUUGUUAAGAGAAAUGGAAAUCUUACAGGGAUAUGACUGAGCCAUUGUGGAGCCUACGUAUCCUGUUGAAGCAGAAAUAAGGUCAAACGUAAUUCCCUUACCGAGGAUUGACAAAAAUAGAAAAAAAUUGAAGGAAACAAUUGAGACUGACAUAGGCCUCUACGUAUUUCAUUAUUGAGAAUUCAGGUCAGAUAUAGUUCAUGUACAAGGAAUAAAUAUUAAAAAUGGAUAAAGGGGUGAUCGAGGCAACACAGGUCGCCUACGUAUCUAAUUCUUGAGAAUUUAUGCCAGACGUAGUUCAUUACAAGACAUAAUUUUCUAACUAUAUAAUAUAAGAUGAUUACACGCAAAUGAUGAGAUUAGAAAGAAAGAAAUAAAAGAUAUUUUGAGCCUUCAAACAUAAUAUCUUUGACAGUACCUGAGUCAAUUGACGACUCGUGAGAUAUAUGUCUAUGUCAACCACGACAUGUCAUCAAUCAAAUGUAUCCAUGUUUUGUCUAAGCAAAUCAAUGAGUUCUCUUUUCUGAGCUUCAGUCAGAUAGACAUUGAUUCAUGUUUCUUUGACACAUUCAUCCUUUUCUAGAUUCACAGUUUUUGUGUUAUCUGAUUCAACUUAUCCUGGUUCUCUAACAGUUUCAAUUUUUUGUCGAUGUCUUUAGAUAUCAUGGUCUUCUCUUAAUACUCUUAGAAUACAUUGUGAUCUACCUUAUUUGUUCAUUUAGCUUAUGAUAUGACAUGACAUGAUGCUGACAGCUUUAAAAUUAUUUUUGUUGGAAUAAAGACAGUUAGAUAGCAAAAUUAAAGCAGCAGGAAUAAAUCUUUUACAGUACAGGUGACUUUCAUUGAAAAUAAGGAUAUGUGAACUUUAUUCAUGACCAUGGGCCAUUUUAAUUUUUCUUUCAAAACGUUACGAGGGAAGUUAAAAGCUAAUUAGGUAAAAAUACAUAAAAGGUAGGUUCUGGUCCUCCUUCACACUACUAUCGAUUUUAUAAAUAGCAUAAAAUUCAUCUUUGUCUAUCAAGAUGAUCAAGGAAACAAGAGCAGAGUGGAAGUGUAAUUAAACACUUGCUCUAUUGGCUCGACGUCUCGUCUAGCUGGGGUUUUGAUCAUCUCUUUAAGGACAACAUCACUUUCUUAAAAAACAUCCCCAAAUCUCCAAGACUGUCAUUAUUGACAUAUUCCUCUACCAAAAAGGACUGCUUCAAAUGAGGCAAUGGCUUUGGUGAUACAUGAUUAACCUUCUUAUUUUGAAUCUCUUUCGUCACAAAAACAAAAGCUUGAUGGGGUGUCAUAAUUGCAGAAUUAAGUUUCUCACUUACGUUAAGAGAAGAUACAACUUUCUCAAGGUUUUUCGGGUUGGUUGUUAUUAUAGAUUUACCACACACCAAUCAUCUACGACAUCAAUCAUGUUAAUAGUGAACCCUCCAUAAUUCAAUAGUUUAUUACUAUUGGCAUUGGAAGUGAAAUUUUGAAGAGUGACAAUUCUUUGAUCAAUCAAGUCCUGAAUUUUAUGCUUUAAACCAUUGUAAUUCUUAAUGGUAUAUCCAACACCUUAUGAAUGGUAAAAACAACGAUGAUUGAACAUUUAAUGUCUAGAACUGACAUUGACAUUUUUGGAUCAAUUGUUGGUAUCAGACCAACUCCUUUCAAUCUCUCAAAAACUUGGGUUCGACUUUCAAACAAAGGAGUUCUUCUGAAGUUUUUUACGAGGAAGAUUGUCAUUAUUUCAUGGAGGUAGGGGUACAUAAUGAUAAAGUGGAGUAUUUUGGCGCGUAUGUGCUGGUGUUUGGAACUUUGGGUAUUGUAGAGUUUGGUAGCUAUGAGGGGCAUUUAGGUAAUUUGAAAAUUUGGCUUGACAACUUGAUUGAACAUUUGGUUAAUUUGGAAAUGGAUAUUGGUAAGUUUUUUGGACAUAAAAGAAGGGGUAAGGAUUUUGUGGAAAAGGAUAGGUUUUGGGUAGUAAGGGCUUUCGAACACUGUGAUGAACAUGUCUCCUUGAUUUUUGGCUCGAUUCAAAUGAGAUAGAGGAAAAAUAUUCCUUUUAUAUCCUUAAUGAACUUUAGGAUUCAUAUUGGAAAGUCAUUUAGAUGAUUUUUCUGGUCUUGAGACCUUCUUCAAUAUUUUGACCAAUUUUGACUAUGUCAUUGAACUUCUUUCCUACAAUGAAUAAUAUCCUACUGUAGUACUCCAACUCUUGAAUGCACACACAGACUUUAGUAAUUUCUUUCUCAGUCAUGGGAGAGAUAACCCUUAUAGGCUUUUUUCUCUAAUGGUAUGCAUACACUCUAUAGCUAUUGGCAUAAUUCUGGUGUUUCUCUCUAAAGAGUAUAGAUUGGGAAUAAAUUCUACACUGUAACCGAACCUUUUGAUGAUUUCGUUAGCCAAGGCAUUCUGACUUAGCCAUUGUUUAAUUUCUUGAUAAAUAAACCAUUCAAAAGAUUCUACUUUCAUACUUCGACUAAGGGGUGACAUUAACAAAACAUCAUUGUCACGACCCCAAAGUACACCCUAGAAUAUAGGCAUCCUUCAAGUCACUACACGACAUUCUAGACCUGUCAGAGGUCUUGUACAAGCCCUUAGACAUCAUUCAUCGCAUAUAUGUACAAAAAUUAGUAGGGAAUUAAAACUUUUCACAACAAUCGAAUAAUAUUUCAAAAUCUCUUUCAUAGAAAAAGAUAGAAAUGCUAAGUCUCUUUGUAGCCAUCUUAGACAAACGAAUAUCUUGAGUCACAACCCAUACAUCAACAAAACUGAAGUUUCAAAGUCUAAUACAAUGUCUCAUGACAAAAAAAGCUUAAUAUAACUAUGUCCUCGAAUCAAUUGAGGACAUACCCAAAAGAUGCUUGAAAGGAUGCUAAUUCCAAGCUUGGUUCCGAAAACCUCCUCACUUUCCACCUACACCUUUAGAUAUAAGACAAUAUAUGGAAUUAGUACAUUAGAAUGCACUAAGUAUGGUGACAUGCAAUUAAAACCAUGCUAAAAGGACAUCUGUAUAUAAUAUGCUUUCAUGCUCUUUUGAAGGAAACCUCAUAAACAAGUAUAAGAAACCACUAACAAUUCAACAUACACAUAUAUAAGACAUAUUUCAAGUAAUCCGUAAGAGACAACCACUACCUCAUAUAAUCACAUAUACCUCCUAACAAAGGUCAUCUUAAGACUCACUUAAGUAAGUUAUGAAACGAACACCCAUACAACCCCUUCACACAUACCGAAGAGAUCCUCAAGACUUCCUAAGAUAAGAUUAUUCACUUUUUACCAUUUAACUCCCUACCUAGAAUUACUCUAAGACUCACCUAAGUAAAACACGAAGACAUGCACAUACACCCUCUUCAAGCCUACCUAAGCAAUCCUUAAAGCUACUCUAGAUAAGUACCUUUUCAUUCACAUGCAUUAACUUAGUCAAUAAUAGUCAUUAAGAAACUUAAGAGACAUUCACAUUUAUAAGACUUCACAUAAUGGUCUUGGAAGACCUAGGGAAACCACAUACUAGAACCUUCAAAGCCUACUCGUGCAAUGUAUAUAUAGCGUUCCAUUCCACUACCUAAAUGUUGUUCUCAAAUACUAGAAUGCAUCCCACAUGAGGAGAAUGGGCAUUAACCGACAUAGACCAUACUAGCUAGGCAUGGAAUCCGGAGUCGACCUUACUCCAUGGACGGUGUUCUACUUGCGAAGGGUAGAACUAGGACACGUCCCAUGUAGCACAUGGUUAAGGAAUAUCAAGGAUAUCUUUUUACUGUAACGACCUGUUUAGUCGUUUUGAGCAGUAGAGUUUAUUUCUGGUAAUAGCUGUCUGGGUCGACGGAUCCCACGACGGACCGUCAUGGGCACGACGAACCGUCGAGGGGGUCUCGUUCCAAAACACUUAGACUCUGGAAUUUGGGUACUGAGAAUAACUCUCUGAACUUUGCAACGGAAGAGCAGCAUGGACCGUCGUAGGCACGACGGACCGUCACAGAGUCUUUAAUAAAUUCGACUCUCUGAACUUUGUGACGGAAACAGUAGGACGGACCGUCGCAGGCACGACAGACCGUCACAGAGUGCGUAACCCUGACUGGGUCAGAUUUCUGUUAAAAGUUUUUAAGGGGUGUUUUGGACUAUUCCUGCUUAUGAUUAUAAAGUUAUUGGUUUAAUGUUAAUAAUCCAAUUAUUUGGGGGUUAAAGGAGAUAACCUUGGAACAAAUAGUGGGUUACUUUUACCAUCUUUUAUACUUAAUUAUAUGAUAAUUAGGGUAAAACAAAAAGAGUUUGAAUAAGGAAAAACCAGAAAGAAAAAGAGAGAAACGAGCGAGAGAAAGAGAAGAAUGCAGCUUUGGGAAAGUAGAUUGCUUGAUCACGAUUCUUCGGUGGAGGUAGGUUAUGGUUUAUACUAUUUCAUAGUAAACUCUAAAUAGCGAUCGAUAUGUAUUGGAUGGUAUUGUAAAGUCUUCUAUAUGCUUAAUUGUGUUGUUGCAUGCUGUGAUUAUGUAAAUAUUGAUGGUUUAUAAUGAUGAUACUGUGGAGUCUUAAAAACCUUAAAACCUCUCUAUUAAUGAUGAUGCCUUGGUAUAAAAGAAGGCUUGAUGAACUAAAAGAAUGAGAAUUAGAGGAUCGGAGUGUCACGUUCCGACACCAGGAUAGUAGAGGAUCGGAGUGUCACGUUCCGACACCAGGAUAGUAGUGGAUCGGAGUGUCACGUUCCGACACCAGGAUAGUAGGGGAUCGGAGUGUCACGUUCCGACACCAGGAUAGUAAGAUGAAUGAAUAUUGAGGGGAUCAGAGUGUCACAUUCCGACACCAGGAUAGUAAAGAGAAUGAAUCUUGAAUUAUGCUAAUAUACUCAGGUUUAAAGAACCUAAUUCCUAAAUGAGUAUGAUGUGGAGGCUUGAGUCCUCAUAGAUGUGCUUGGUGUUGUGGCCAAUGGUUAUGGUACUUGUUGUUGUCACCUGUUAAGUAUUUGGUUGAUUUUAUGUUAUUAUCUGAUAUAUAUUGCUUUCUAUUUUGAGUUGGCCGACGAUAUCUACUCAGUACUUGUGCCUUGUACUGACCCCUACUUGCAUGUUUCUUCUUUGAUAUUUGUGGAGUGCAGCAAACGGGCCAUCGACUUCAACUCAACCGCAACUCUAGCCAGACCUCAGCAUCAGAUUUCAGGGUGAGCUAUUAUUCCUAGCUCGGACUGGAUUCUUUCUUUCACGUCUUGAUGUCUUCAAGUUUGGACAUGGACCAUCUGUUUACUUAUUUUAGCUUCCUAGAUACUCUUAGAUUUAGUAAUUUGAGGAUAGAUGUUCUUGUGGUGAUGACUUCCAGAUUUUGGGAAUGAUAAGUAUUAAAUUUUAGAAGUUAUUUAUUUGUUAUAAUAAUGAGUUUUAAGUCUUCCGCGUUAUAUUCUGUUUAUUAUGGUUGAAAUGUUAGGGUUUAGAUUGGUUGGUUCGCUCACAUAGGAGGAUAAGUGUGGGUGCCACUCACGGCUCAUUUUGGGUCGUGACAAACUCUAGUCUCAACUUAAGUAGAGUCACUACCACAAGCAUAUUCUCUUAGUGCUAGCCAUGUUCUCAUAGAGUAUGUUAAAUCACAAUACCAAAAAAAGACUAGGGCUGCCACUCAAUUGUCAAUAAGGAUAGCUCGAUGACUUUCUUAAAGAUGGUUUCAUGCUGUUCCAGCCAACCUAUCUCUAAGUCCAUCAUUCACACAUGAAUGAUACCAUUACGACUUUAAACUUCAAGGAUAUUUUAACGUUCUUUCUAGUUUGAAGGUUCCAAGUCAAUGACCCUCUUAACCAUGUUCAAUCAUACAUUCAUAUACAUGACAAAGGUGUUUAAACCUACUAAGUCAAGAGUUCAUAUUUACAUUCUUCAUGUAUCAAGUAGAGGGACAUAGGUCAACUAGGAAGAAUCAUACUUCAACAUCAAGUAUAAACAUAUCAAGACAUCACCAUAGUCUACUAUAUCCACAUAUCAUCAACUCAUGCUUUAACAUCACAUAUACACAUGUACCACAUAAUCCUUCAUAAGAUCAUCUACAACAUAAUAACAUCAAAAUUCAUAAAGUAAUGCCGACAAAGCCACAUUCUUCAGAAUUAUAACACAUAAGCACCACUACCAUAAAUGGACUAUACCAAUUAUCACAAUUGAAUAGAAAUUCUACACUAUAUAAGAACAUUAGGUCACCUCACUACCCUUUCUUCAUCAGCAUCAACAUUCCAAAGUCUUUUCAAUCAAAUUCACUUCACCAAAGUCUCUUACCAAUAGCCAUACACACAAUUCCAAUCUAAUAUGAAAUCAAACAAAUGAACCAUUACAAUAUAAUGUGAUCAUCAUCAAAUUUAGGCAGCAUAUAUACAAUUUUAACGUGAUCAUUACAUAAAUCAAUAACCCAAAGUAAACUAUACAAGAAUUAAAUACAAUAAGGUCAUGAUCAAAUUACUCACAUUAUAGACAAAAUUAGGAUUUCAUGAAUUGCAUUGGUUCAUAGGAUCUUGAUCUAAAAUCAUUCAAUAACAUAAAUUAUAACAUAAAUUAUUGAUUCAAAUCAUUUUAUGCAUGAAACCAUGGCUAGAAGUCAAAAUAGAAGAUCUCAUGUUUUGAGAAGUCUUCAAAAGUCUUUAGAGUUAAACUCCUUGAAGAAAAAGAGUUCAAGGAUGAAACAUCAUACCUUGGUGAAGACAGUCCACGAAAAUGAUGAAGAUAAAAUGGAUAAAUCAAGCUCAUAGCCACAACCUUGCUUCAAGCUUCAAUGGAGUUCUAGAGAAUUAUAUUUGGGGUCUUGUGUUUUCUUUUUUAUUAAUGAACUCAACUAUAGGUUCUAGACUUAUAAAGUGACUUAAAAUACCUAAAAGCACCUUAAGUAAUCGCCAAAUAUUUUAUUUAGAAGCUAGGUUAAAUUCCCAAGUUACCUUUACCUUGGCUGAGAAUUUUCAGGAAUUAGAGGAACCAAACGAUGCCUAUAGACGAUGGACCGUCGAUGGAACGACGACACCGUCAUGUAGGUUCGUCAUUUGAGACAGAGACCCUGCAAUUUGAAGGCUUAGAUCCCACACCUAAGUGUGGAGAAAUGCCUUCCUUUGACUGACCAUUCCUUGGACGACAGGGCAUCUCUAGAGCAGUCGUAGUUAGAGACUACCUUGGGAAGUUUCAAGUCCAAAGUUGGGUCCUCCUCAAGGACCCUUAGGUCGUCCUUGGGGAGUCGUUCCCAGACGUUUCAACCCUAAAUAUAUGUCUAGAUGUUAGGAACCUCUCCCGUCAAUUGGAACUCAAACCAACACUUAAACAUGCAAAGGCACACUAGAACACACAAGCACGUCUCAAGGCUAACUUUAAAAUGUCUUGAACGUUCUUGGGUGUUUGACCUCCAAACCCUUCCAAACUCAAUGCACUAACUCUUGACACUAUAAUUAACCAUUUUAAUACCUUAUCAACUCAUGAUACACAUGUUAGGCUCUAAUUUCGACAAAUUUAUUAUUAGGGUUUUACAAUCAUCUUUUCCAACUCCCACAAAUUGGCUGCAAUAAGACCUCAAAUGAGCAAAGGGAUUUCCAACUCCACUAAAAAUGUCAAAUUUUGGUACUGUAAAACCUUCCGGAAGGUCCAAAUGUGGAUGGAUGCACAAGUCUUCAUAGUUCAAUAAAACAAUAUCUAGGGUAUAUCAGAAGUCAUUCAUUGCAUUCAUAACUUCCUCUCUGAUGUUUUUCUUAGUAUUUCCUCUUAUGACCUUCCGCUCCUUCUCAAUCUCUUUUUUCUCAUAAUAAUUAAUUUUAAAAUGUGUGCUAAGUGGAGGGUAUAAUUCUGAAUGAUAUGGGAAUAUGAAAAGUGGGUUCCAGAGGUAUGGGUUGAGUAGUAGGUGGACUUUGAACAAUUUGAGUAGGAAUCUGAGGAAAAUUCUACAUUUGAUGGUGUUUGGAUUUUUAACACCUUGAAAAUCCAAGACAAGUCUUAGAGCCUAACAUAAGUUUCAUGGGGUCUAAGCACUGUUUUAAGACCUAUUUUAAUUAAUAUAGGUCAUUUAGGAAGUUUAAGAACCAAAAUGUCCAAGAAUAUCCAUGACGUUCGAAAACUAGUUCUAAAGGGUACUAGCAUGCAAUAGCCUAUUUGACUAGCUUUAAGGAGUCGAAAAUCUAUGAAAUUAAGUGGAAGGGUGUAUAACAAGUGUUUAGGAUUAUUCAUGGUCUAAAGGUCCAAGUAUUACUCCCCAAGGACCAACCAAGGGCCCUUGACGAGGACCCUAGCACGUAGGAGGCAACACCUAGGCAGAGUGCAACCACGAGAAGCCAUUAACAGCUUGUGUGUGGAUCGACGAGGCGUAGAUGCCCAGCAUCGCCCCACACUUAGACAAAAUGUUGGAGGCCCUCAGAUGCAAAGCCUUUGAAAUCAAUGACAGUUGUGCAACACAGAAGGCACAAUGCCUGUCGACUCUUAGACGGACCGUCAAUGGGGUUCCGUCUGUGAUGGUCUAAUUUUCUGCAUUAAUUUAAGUUAAGUCCAAUUAAAGUAAUUAAGGGGUUUAGGGGUUAUUUAGGUAUUAAAGAAAUAUUAAUUAACUAAUUUUAACCACCCAUAUAAAGACCCCAACCCUCAUUAAUCUAAACACAACUCUCAAAAAAAACUCUCUUCCUUCUAUCUCUAUUUGGAAGCCACCAUUGAAGACAAGCUAGGGGAAGAUUUUGGGGGCUAGAAAGGGACGAUUUCACCAUCAAAUAUUCAUUAAAAGUUAAGGUAUGGGAUAUAAUUCACCUUUGAGACUCUUUCCUCAAAGGGUUCCUUCAAAAUUGAUUUCAGAAGUUGAGUUUUCAUGUGGAUUUCAUCCAAUUACGAAAUUGAUAUUGGGUGAACUGAGUUGUUUAUGUUUUAUUUAGAUUAUAAUGGAUAUAUUAACAUUUAUUUUAACUUUAUUAUGGUAAUUGGUGAUGGUUUGACCUAAAUUGAAGAAUAUGAUCCUUAACCCUUAACCCUAGGUUUGAUCUUGAUGUAAAUUGGGUUGUGAUUGAUUCAAUUUUCUUGAUUAUAGGUUAAAUCACGACUAGAUGAUGUUAUUACAUCAAUAAUAAACAAAUUAGAAUGAAUUGUUUUCUUUCAUGCUAAUCUUAAGAAGUAAUCUAGGUUAUGGAAAUUGGCCUAAGUAAUCUUGUUUUAAGCAUCGAUUUGGUAUUGAAUUAUGGUGUACUGACUCUUCUAGUAUUUUUAUCAUGUUAUUUAUUCAAUUAUAAUGUUUAACAUAUAAAUUGGAUUGAAUUGAGGUUUUUCCUAAAUGAUGAACCAUGAAGAAGAUUUGGUAAGCGUUGGAAUCUCUAUCUUUACUUCCAAUUGUGAUUAAUUGUGGUUAAGUCAUGAUGUUCUAUUGGAGUAUGCCUUAUAUUAGGAUGAUAGGGUGGUAUGAUGUUGAAUUUAAAUGUCUUGAUUAUGGUUGUGAGAUUGAUUAAGAUGUAAAUGCUAUAAUGAUGGUGAUGUAUACCAAUGUGCCUUACUAUGAAUUAAUGUGUAAUGUGUUAACCUCACCUACAUAAAUUAAGAUGAAAGGAUUUAUACUCAUACAAUUCUUAUUGAGCUAUUGAUGAUGAUGAUUAUACAAGGCGUAGACCUUAUGACCUAAAUAAAACUAUGAUUGAUAAUUAAAGGCUUAAAGACAUUUUAAAAAGAGACUCUAGUUUAACAUCGAGUGAACUAGAUUGAGGAGUGUCCCUUCCCACAUAGGAAAGGUAGGAGCAUUACAUUAUUUUUGAGAUUGGAGACUAUAGUGCAUGGAGCAUAACGAGGGUCCCAAUUAUAUCUCAUAGUUCUUGAACUAUGUUGCCUUCAUAGAAAUAUUAGCUAGUGGAUCCACGUAGUUGCUAUGUUUUGUGUUUUGGUACUACCUUGGCAAGUAGUCCGCCUUCUUUCGGUGUAGGGUUUUAUGAUACCGGAUUCUACACUAGCACAUGUGGUGUAUGUCGGUUAGGGCAAGAUGUUCUCAAAAGGUAAAAUAAAUUAAAGAAUUGAACUCUAAGUAGGAUAAACUAAGGAGUCUAGCUUAGUCUAGGUAGGGGUAUGGGACUCUACCUAAGCAUUGCACUAGUUAGCCUUGAGGGGAGUCUUAGGAGGAUGUUAUUAUAUAUGUUUAUGUUGUGAUGAUAUAUGAUAUGUACAUGAUGAACUUGCACAUUGUUGAUACUAUAUGUUGGUUAGAUCACUUAUUAGUAUGUGUUGGGUUAUAUUGUUAAAAUAAGAUUAAAUGUACAUCUAAAUGUUAUAUUAUGUGAAGUUGGACAUUGGUUAUGGUCUCUUGUUGAGGCUACUUGAUUGAUUAAGGUUAUGGGGUUUUGCUUGGUCAUUGCACUUGUUGACUUGAUAAGGAUUCCUGAGUAGUUGUCUUGCUUAUUAUGAUAUAAUUGACUCUUAUUAUACUUGUGAUGUUAUUCCUUGAUGAUAGGGUGGUAGUAAAUCAUGGGUUGAAGCAUAUUACUUGUUUGAGUUAGUAAGCAUGUUUGGUUGAUUGUUAUGACUUGCUUGAUUUUGCAUUAGACUUUUCAAAGGGUAAAAUGACAAGUUUUGAAUAAAUGUCCCUUUUUAGCAUGUUUUGUUCUUAUAUGUGCAUAUGGUCUCAUACUUAGUACAUGUGGAGUACUAACCCCAUUUUCUUCUUUUUUCCCAAACAUUUUAGGUUUCGGUCGUUAAAGGCUCAUUCGAGACGACUUGAACAAGGCUUGGAUAUUCUUUAUCAUCCAAGUUUGUAGGUCCUCACUUUCCAAGGGCGAUGCCAAUAUCUUGCCUAUGAAGUUCCUUUGUUUUUCUAAGACUUUUAUGUUCAUUCCACUUUCACUGUGUACGACUUGUAUAAGCCUAUAUGUGGCUUCUUUACAUUGAUAUAGGGCUAUGCCCAAAUUGUGAUGAUCAUUUAGAUGGUAUGAGAUGAGACAAUCUUUGAGACUAUCUUCUAUCUUAUAUAUAUAUAUAUAUAUAUAUAUAUAUAUAUACACACACACAUACAUACAUACAUAAAUACAUACAUAUAUAUGUGUGUGUGUGUGUGUGUGUGUGCAAUAAAUGUAGAAGGCUAUGUAACCUUCCUAUACGAAGGGUCUAUGUAUACUCGAUACGACUAUAUUAUGUGUAUAUAGAGGUCUAUGUAAAUCUCCAAGUAGAUGAAAUGAAAAGUUUUAAAUUUUUCCGCAUUUUCAACCUAUGAAUGUAAUUACAUAAGACUAAGGGGCUAGUCUUAGUCCUCAAAGAGGAUGACAACACUGGUUAAGUCUAGGGGGAAAACCCAGAUUUGACAGGAUUUUGAAAAGUAGGUAACUUCUGGUGUGAAAAGCUAGCAUGAUGUGGUUUAGGGGCGGUUAGGUUGAUGAUGGGAGGUUUUGAAAUCAUAGAUGUGGUUGAGUUGUUUAGAAGAUAGGCGGAUGUUGGAUUCGAAGUAGGAAAAUAGAGUGGAGGCCUUUAGUUAUUUGGGGUAGAAGUGUUGGCAAUGAUAGUAAGAUUUGCGAAAUCUCAAUUUUUAUCUAUUCAGCAAUUUGUUUGAGCAAUUGUGCAAUUUUGUUUAGCUAUGAUAGGAUCAUUCAUAUUAAUUUUGGUCAAUUAGUGUUUUCAACAUUUUCAAUUACUUUUUUUUCGUUUGGACAAACUUUGGUUUGAGAAGGAAUAUUUGAGAUCUUUGGACCUUGUGAAGUAUAGAUAUCCACCCUUAUUUCUCAACACAGAUUAGCUUUGAGUAAUUAACAAAAGUAAAAUAACUCAAGAGAUAAAUGUGUUACUCUAUGUGGAUACUAAAUAUUACAAAUAUCACACACAUGACUACAAACACAUAAGAGUUGAUUUACUUGAAGAUAAACUAGCCCUCACAAAUAGAAAAGUGACUCAAUAGACAAUUAAUUUGAUUUUGAGCUUAGUGAAUCGAGAAUAUUGGCUUGCGUGGAGUCACUGGCCUUUUGUAUUUCUAAUUGGUGUACUUAUGAUUUUCAAUUAAGAUGAAACUCUAAUUUAUUUGGAAGAGCGAAAAAAAUAUAACUUUUCACCCGCUCUUAAAAGAUUGUCUACAUGUCUUAUAAAAGAGUAUUCAGGUUUUACAUAGUUCUAAUGGCUUGAAUCUUUUUUUGAUUUGAGAAAGGAAAUUGACCCUUAUUUCAGAUGAGAAAGUAAGAUUUAGAAUUUUAAAGUGAUGUUCAAAUUUUAUUGUGAAAGUAAAGACUCCAGGAGCAUUUUGACGCAAUUUCAAUAAUGACUUGAUAUUUGUGCUUAGGGAAUCUAAAAACAAUUCAAAAAGGAGUGAUCUAGAAUAUCACAAAAUAAAGAAACAUAUUCAAACAAACAAUUGUAACACAUCAAUAGAUUUUGGGCAAUUUAAACAGAUAUAUGACUUUUUAUGUCAAGGAUAGACCUAGUGAUUUGAAGAUGUAUUGCAUCAUUUGAAACAUUUCAUUACCUCGAAAUUCAAAUGUAUACAAACUUUAUGAAUGAAUGUCACGACCCAAACCGGGUUGCGACUGGCACCCACACUUACCCUUCUAUUUGAGCGAACCCACCAAUCUAACCUUAACAUUUCAAUAUAAUAUCAACAGAAAGUAAUGCGGAAGACUUAAACUCAUUAAAUAAAGACCAAUUCAUUAACUUCUAAAAUUCAACAUCUAUUAUUCCCCAAAAUCUGGAAGUCAUCAUCACAAGAACAUCUACGAUCAAAAGACUAAACUAAGAGUAUUCUAAAAGCUAAAAAUACAUAAGAAGCUAGGCCAUGCCGGAAGUUCAAGGCAUCAAGACUUGAAGAAGAAGAUCCAGUCCAAGCUAGAAGCAUUAGCUCACCCUGAAUUUCCGAUGUAGUAAGACUGGCUUGAAUUACUGUUGAGUUGAAGACGAUGGCACGUUUGCUGCACUCCACAAAUAAACAAGAAGAAAACAUAAAAGUAGGGGUCAGUACAAAACACGGGUACUGAGUAGAUAUCAUCGGCCAACUCAAAAUAGGAAUCAAUAUAUACCAAGUAAUAUCAUAAAAUCAACUAUGAUACUCAACAUGUAGCAACAACAAAUACUAUAUCAUUAACAAUUACCGUCAAGUUCACACAUGAGGACUCAAGCCUCAAUACCAUACUCAUUUGGGAAUCAUGUUCAUUAGAUUGAGUAUAUUAACAUCUUUCAAGAUUCAUUAUCAUUAUUUCUCUUGUGUCGGUACGUGACACUCCGCUCCCUCAAUAUUCAUUAAUCCUCUUGUGUCGGUACGUGACACUCCGAUCCCUAAAUCUAUGUGUCGGUUCGUGACACCCGAUCCCCUAAAUCUAUGUGUCGGUUCGUGACACCCGAUCCCCUAAAUCUACGUGUCGGUUCGUGACACCCGAUCCCCUAAUACUACGUGUCGGUUCGUGACACCUGAUCCCCUAAUACUACGUGUCGGUUCGUGACACCCGAUCCCCUAAUACUACGUGUCGGUUCGUGACACUCGAUCCCCUAAUUCUACGUGUCAGUUCGUGACACCCGAUCCCCUAAUACUAUGUGUCGGUUCAUGACACCCGAUCCCCUAAUUCUACGUGUCGGUUCGUGACACCCGAUCCCCUAAUCUCCUUCCAUCAAUUCAUCAAGCCUUCUUUCUUACCAAGGCAUCAUCAAUCCCAUUAUUUUAGUUCAUCACGCCUUCUUUUAUACCAAGGCCUCAUUAUUAACAAAGAGAUUAGGAUUUUGCAAGAUUUGGGAUUCAAUAACUUCAUCAUGCUUAUAUAAUCACAAUUAUAUAAUUACAUUCAUGCAAGCAUACAAUUAAGCACAUAGCAGGGUUUACAAUAUUAUCAAUACAUAUCAUUCUCUAUUAAGAGUUUACUACGAAUAUCGUAAGAGAAACCAUAACCUACCUCCACCGAAGACUAGUGAUCAACAAGCUAUCUUCUCAAAAAUCUUGCUAUCCUCUUCGUUUCUCUCUCUCUCUACUCGUUCUCUUUCUUUUUCUGUCUCUCCUUGUUCUUUCUAUUUUUCUUAUUCAAACCCUCUUUCUUUUACCCUAAUGAACAUAUAAUUAAGAAUAAAAGAUGGCAAUAAUGCCCCACUAAUUAACUUAAGGUUACCUCUUUUAACCCCCAAGUAAUUAGACUUAUUAACAUUAACCCACUAACUUUAUAAUUAAGGCAAGAAUAGUCAAAAACGUCCCUUAAAACGUAUGAAGAAAUCCGACCCAGACUGGGAUUUGUGCAACCUGUGACGGGCCGUCGUGCCUGCGACGGGCCGUCCUGCAGGUCGUCGCAAGGUUCAGAGACCCAAAUUUCCACCAAGGGUCUGUGACGGUCCGUCACACCUGUGACGGUCCGUCACACCUGUGACGGUCCGUCCUGACAUUUCGUUACGAAGUUCAGAGAGUCGAUUUUCAGUACCCAAUUUUCAAUUUUUCUAAGUGUUUUGAAACGAGACUCUGCGACGGUUCGUCGUGCCCAUGACGGUCCGUCGUUGGGUCCGUCGCCUCAGCCUGUUUUUCCAGAAUAAAAUCUGCUGCUCAAAACGACUAAACAGGUCGUUACAAUAGAUACCAAUUUACCCAUCGUUCGUCCCCGAACGAUCAAAAGAAGGAAAACAAGGGCGAAAAGGAGUACUUGAAUCUGUAAACAGAUGUGGGUAUUUUUCUCGCAUAUCCGCCUCCUUCUCCCAAGUGGCUUCUUCAACGGGUCGAUUCUUCCAUUGCACCUUGAUGGAUGCAAUCUCUCUUGACCUCAACUUGCGAACUUCUCUAUCUAAAAUAGCAACAGGCUCCUCCUCAUAAGACAAGUUCUCAUCAAGCAAAACUGAAUCCCAACGGAUAAUGUAGUUUUCAUCCCCAUGGUAUCUUUUCAACAUCGACACAUGGAAUACCGGAUGUACUCUGGACAGCCCUGGAGGCAAGGCUAACUCAUAAGCCACCUCUCCUACUCGCUUAAGUACUUCAAAUGGUCCAAUGUACCUUGGACUUAGUUUACCCCUUUUACCAAACCGCAUCACCCCUUUCAUUGGUGAAACUUUCAACAAGACUUGUUCACCCUCCAUGAACUCUAAGUCUCUAACCUUUCGAUCUGCAUAUUCUUUUUGUCUACUUUGCGCCGCUAGAAGCUUUUCUUGAAUAAACUUCACUUUCUCUAUCGAAUCCUUCAAAAGGUUGGUACCCCAAAGCCUAACCUCAAAUGCAUCAAACCAACCAAUGGGAGACCUACAUCUCCUACCAUACAAUGCUUCAAAUGGAGCCAUAUCAAUGCUUGAGUGAUAGCUAUUAUUGUAUGAAAACUCCGCUAAGGGUAGGAAGCUAUCCCAAUGGCCACCAAACUCUAUCACACAUGCACGAAGCAUAUCUUCCAACACUUGAAUCGUUCUCUCAGACUGACCAUCGGUCUGAGGAUGAAACGCAGUACUAAGGUACAACCUAGUACCCAAUUCCGCAUGCAAUGUUUUCCAAAACUUAGAAGUAAACUGCGUACCUCUAUCUGAUGUGAUGGAUAGUGGAACCCCAUGCAAUCGCACAACUUCCGAGAUGUAAAGUUUGGCUAACUUCUCUGCAUUGUAAGUCACCUUGACCGGAAUUCUCUCCCACUUUCAUUCAGGAAUGGGCAUUCUCUGAAGUGUUCCUCCGGGCCUCUGGUGUUCAUACUUUACUUGUUGACAGUUUGGACACUUGGCAAUAAAGUCAACAAUAUCACGCUUCAUUCUACUCCACCAAAAGUGUUGCUUUAGGUCACGAUACAUCUUGGUUGCACCCGGAUGUAUAGAAUACCUUGAACUAUGAGCCUCUGUCAGAAUAGUGUUGAUCAAAUCAUCGACGCGGGGUACACAUACCCUUCCCUUGAUUCUCAAAACACCUUCCUCAUCGAUUUGUGCUUCUUUAGCCUCCCCUCGCAAUACUUUAUCUUGGAUUCGCCUUAGUUUCUCAUCAUCAAACUAUUUUCCCUUAAUUUUGUCAAGAAAAGAAGAUCUUGACUCCACACUAGCCAACAAUCCUCCCUCCUCAUUUACUUCUAACCUCAUCAAGUCGUUAGCCAGAGUCUGAACCUCUCUAGCCAAUGGUCGUCUAGAAACUUGCAAGUGAGCUAGACUUCCCAUGCUUCCCGCUUUUCUACUUAAAGCAUCUGCUACAACAUUCGCUUUUCCCAGAUGAUACAAGAUAGUGAUAUCGUAGUCCUUUAGUAACUCCAUCCAUCUCCUCUGUCUUAAGUUCAAAUCUUUCUGAGUAAAGACAUACUGAAGGCUACGAUGAUCCGUGUAGACCUCACACUUAACCCCAUAUAAAUAGUGUCUCCAUUGCUUUAAUGCAAACACUACCGCAGCCAAUUCCAAAUCAUGAGUUGGAUAGUUACGUUCAUGCACAUUUAAUUGUCUCAAAGCAUAAGCAAUCACAUUCUUCUCUUGCAUUAACACUGCACCCAAACCCGAAUAAGAUGCAUCAUAAUAGACAAAGAAAUUCUUACCUUCCACUGGCAAGGUGAGAAUGGGUGCGGUAGUCAACAAAGUCUUAAGCUUCUGAAAGCUUUCCUCACACUCAUCCGACCAUACAAAUGGAACAUUUUGCUUAGUCAAGUUCGUCAGUUGGGAAGCAAUAGAAGAGAAUCCCUUGACGAAUCGGCGGUAGUAGCUAGCUAACCCAACAAAGCUCCUUAUUUCUGACACAUUAGUAGGUCUUACCCAAUUCUUCAUUGUCUCAAUCUUAGAAGGAUCCACCAUCAGUCCAUCCAUAGAAACCACGUGUCCCAAGAAUGACACUGCAUCUAGCCAAAACUCACACUUAGAGAACUUGGCAUAAAGCUUUUUCUCCCUCAACAUUUCCAAUACCAUUCUCAAAUUCUCUUCAUGUUCCUUCUUGCUCUUUGAGUAUACCAAUAUAUCAUCAAUAAAUACGAUCACCAAGAGGUCCAAAUAUGGCUUAAAAAUACCAUUCAUCAAGCUCAUGAACGCAGCAGGGGCAUUCGUAAGACCAAAAGACAUCACUACAAAUUCGUAAUGCCCAUACCUCGUUCGAAAAGCAGUCUUUGGCACAUCCGUUGCCCGUAUUUUCAAUUGAUGAUAACCGGAUCUCAAGUCAAUCUUAGAGAAGACACAAGCACCUUGUAACUGAUCGAACAAAUCAUCAAUGCGGGGAAGAGGAUACUUGUUCUUUAUGGUUACCUUGUUUAGUUGUCUGUAGUCUAUACACAUUCGAAAACUCCCAUCCUUCUUCUUUACAAACAAAACCGGAGCACCCCAAGGAGAUGCACUUGGUCUAAUAAAGCCUUUGUUUAACAACUCUUCAAGUUGGGCUUUUAACUCUCUUAACUCCGCGGGAGCCAUUCUAUAAGGGGGUAUAGAAAUGGGGCGAGUACCCGGUUCAAGAUCGAUACAGAAGUCAAUAUCCCUAUCUGGUGGCAUACCAGGAAGAUCUGCAGGGAACACAUCCAAAAACUUGCGGACUACCGAAACCGACUCAAUUGAAGGUACUUGGGUAGUGUCAUCCUUGAGAUGUGCCAAGAAAGCUAAACACCCUUUACUAACCAUUUUCAUAGCACGAAGAAAGGAGAUGAUACGCACCGGAUUGGAAGUGUAGUCACCCUCCCACACUAAUGGAUCUGUCCCAGGCUUGGCUAACGUCACCGUUUUAGCAUUACAAUCCAAGAUCGCAAAUUGCGGAGAAAGCCAAGUCAUACCCAGAAUUACAUCAAAAUCGACCAUUUCUAAGAUAACCAAGUCUACAUAAGUAUUGCCCCCCACAAAAGUUACAAGACAAGACCUAUACACCCUUUCAACUAUCACAGACUCACCCACCGGAGUAGAAACACGAAUAGGUAUCACAAUGUAAGUUAAGACCAUUAGCAAAUGCGGAAGAUACAUAAGAAAAUGUGGAUCCGGGAUCAAAUAAUACAGAAGCCAUGCAAUCACAAACCAAAAGAUUACCUGUGAUGACAGCAUCAGAUGCCUCCGCUUCAGACCGCCCAGGGAAAGCGUAACAAUGGGCCCUAUCGUUCGUCUGUCCGUUGCCCCUACCAUGUUGUGAUGUAGUGGCUCCAUUCUGCCCAUCACCUCGGCCAUUUUGGUGACCACCAUUUCCUCGACCACCACGCCCUCCAGAAAAACGGCCUCUACCAUGACCACCUCUACCUCUAGCUAUUGGGGGUCUGUAACUCUGUUUUGGACAAUUUCUCCUAAUAUGUCCAGUCUCCCCACAUCCGUAACACUCUCUGUAGUCAAGCAUAGGUCUCUCGGAGAAGUGUUGACCGGUCUGAGGUGGUCCCCCAACUACAGUCUGUAGUGAAGACUGAAUUGGUCCAACUUAGUAACUUCCCGAACCCUGUCCUCUAGUGUAAGCACCAUUAAACUCACCUCCCUUUCGAAACCUUUUUGAUGUCGAUGUCGUAGUGAAGUCGUCUGGCUUCACUCCUUCCACUUUUAUCACAAAGUCUACCACCUCUUGGAAGGAUUUUGCCGUUGCCGCUAUCUGUAAGGCCGAAAUCCGCAAUUCUGACCUCAAACCCUUCACAAACCGGCGAAUUCGCUCUUGUGGACUGAAACACAGUUGGGUGGCAUACCGGGAUAAUGCACGAAACAUAGCCUCAUAUGCAUUGACCGACAUCCUACCUUGCUCUAGGCUCAAGAACUCAUCCCUUUUCCUAUCCCUCAAAGUUCGGGGGAUAUACUUCUCCAUAAACAAGCUAGAGAAUGAGGCCCAAGUCAUAGGUGGUGCCUCUGUUGGUUGACACUCAAUAUGUGACCGCCACCACAUUUUGGCGUUCCCUUGAAACUGAUAAGUCACAAACUCCACACCAAACCAUUCUACUAUACCCAUCUUGUGUAGUAGCUCGUGACAGUCAACCAGAAAAAUCAUAAGCAUCCUCCGAUUCAGCACCCUUGAAGACCGGAGGUUUCAAUUUCAAGAACUUACUGAAAAGUUCAUGCUGAUCAUUUGUCAUUAUAGGACCAGUAGUCAGACGUGGAAAUGUGCCUAUGUCCAAUGAGGCCUCCAUACGAGGAGCCAUAGUGGCUGCAUAUUGUACUUCUGAAACCGGAGGUGUUGGCGCAGAAAACACUGAAGGUGCCUGACCUUGAUCAGACAACCCACUGAGAUAGGCGAGAACCUGAUUGAGCAUCUCUGGGGUAGGUUGGGGUGGCAAUCCCUCAUUCUGCACUUGUUCAGUUUCCCCAUCCUCCCCUUCUCUUAUUACUUCCUCAGUCGGUGGAGGAGUCACUGCCCUAGUAUCAGAUGGGCUAGGUGCUCGUCCUCUUCCCCUAGAGGACGUCCUCCAACGACCUCUACCACGGCCCCUUGCCGCUGUUCUUCCUCGAGCCACAGCCCCAGUAACUGGCUCAGUUGUUUCUUGUCUGGCCGGUGUUGGUGUUGGCGUAGUUGUUGCUCUAGUUCUAACCAUCUGCGAAAGAGAGUGAAGAUGGUCAGAUACCAAUUCGUAUCGCCUAGAUACCAAUUGGACUCAAGUAGUAGCACGAAAGAAAGAAUGAAAGAGUGAAAUUUUCCUAAAGUCUUAUAGCCUCUCAAGGAAAAGUAAAGGCGUCCCCUUACCGUUCCUUAAGACUCUACUAGACCUGUUCUUGUGUGAUGAGACCAACGAACCUAAUGCUCUGAUACCAAGUUUGUCACGACCCAAACCGGGUUGCGACUGGCACCCACACUUACCCCCCUAUGUGAGCGAACCCACCAAUCUAACCUUAACAUUUCAAUAUAAUAUCAACAGAAAGUAAUGCGGAAGACUUAAACUCAUUAAAUAAAGACCAAUUCAUUAACUUCUAAAAUUCAACAUCUAUUAUUCCCCAAAAUCUGGAAGCCAUCAUCACAAGAACAUCUACGAUCAAAAGACUAAACUAAGAGUAUUCUAAAAGCUAAAAAUACAUAAGAAGCUAGGCCAUGCCGGAAGUUCAAGGCAUCAAGACUUGAAGAAGAAGAUCAAGUCCAAGCUAGAAGCAUAAGCUCACCCUGAAUUUCCGAUGUAGUAAGACUGGCUUGAAUUACUGUUGAGUUGAAGACGAUGGCACGUUUGCUGCACUCCACAAAUAAACAAGAGAAAGCAUAAAAGUAGGGGUCAGUACAAAACACGGGUACUGAGUAGAUAUCAUCGGCCAACUCAAAAUAGGAAUCAAUAUAUACCAAGUAAUAUCAUAAAAUCAACUAUGAUACUCAACAUGUAGCAACAACAAAUACUAUAUCAUUAACAAUUACCGUCAAGUUCACACAUGAGGACUCAAGCCUCAAUACCAUACUCAUUUGGGAAUCAUGUUCAUUAGAUUGAAUAUAUUAACAUCUUUCAAGAUUCAUUAUCUUUAUUUCUCUUGUGUCGGUACGUGACACUCCGCUCCCUCAAUAUUCAUUAAUCCUCUUGUGUCGGUACGUGACACUCCGAUCCUCUAAAUCUAUGUGUCGGUUCGUGACAUCCGAUCCUCUAAAUCUAUAUGUCAGUUCGUGACACCCAAUCCCCUAAAUCUACGUGUCGGUUCGUGACACCCGAUCCCCUAAUACUACGUGUCGGUUCGUUACACCCGAUCUCCUAAUACUACGUGUCGGUUCGUGACACCCGAUCCCCUAAUACUACGUGUCGGUUCGUGACACCCGAUCCCCUAAUUCUACGUGUCGGUUCGUGACACCCGAUCCCCUAAUACUACGUGUUGGUUCGUGACACCCGAUCCCCUAAUUCUACGUGUCGGUUCGUGACACCCGAUCCCCUAAUCUCCUUCCAUCAAUUCAUUAAGCCUUCUUUCUUACAAAGGCAUCAUCAAUCCCAUUAUUUUAGUUCAUCACGCCUUCUUUUAUACCAAGGCCUCAUUAUUAACAAAGAGAUUAGGAUUUUGCAAGAUUUGGGAUUCAAUAACUUCAUCAUGCUUAUGUAAUCACAAUUAUAUAAUUACAUUCAUGCUAGCAUACAAUUAAGCACAUAGCAGGGUUUACAAUAUUAUCAAUACAUAUCAUUCUCUAUUAAGAGUUUACUACGAAUAUCGUAAGAGAAACCAUAACCUACCUCCACCGAAGACUAGUGAUCAACAAGUUAUCUUCUCAAAAUCCUUGCUAUCCUCUUCGUUUCUCUCUCUCUCUACUCGUUCUCUUUCUUUUUCUGUCUCUCCUUGUUCUUUAUAUUUUUCUUAUUCAAACCCUCUUUCUUUUACCCUAAUGAACAUAUAAUUAAGAAUAAAAGAUGGCAAUAAUGCCCCACUAAUUAACUUAAGGUUACCUCUUUUAACCCCCAAGUAAUUAGACUUAUUAACAUUAACCCACUAACUUUAUAAUUAAGGCAAGAAUAGUCAAAAACAUCCCUUAAAACGUAUGAAGAAAUCUGACCCAGACUGGGAUUUGCGCAACCUGUGACGGGCCGUCGUGCCUGCGACGGUCCGUCCUGCAGGUCGUCGCAAGGUUCAGAGACCCAAAUUUCCACCAAGGGUCUGUGACGGUCCGUCCUGCCAUUUCGUUACGAAGUUGACAGAGUUGAUUUUCAGUACCCAAUUUUCAGUUUUUCUAAGUGUUUUGAAACGAGACCCUGCGACGGUCCGUCGUGCCCAUGACGGUCCGUCGUUGGGUCCGUCGCCUCAGCCUGUUGUUCCAGAAUAAAAUCUGCUGCUCAAAACGACUAAGCAGGUCGUUACAAUGAAUGAAUAAGGAUACACAAUAUGGAAAAGAAAUAUCAAUAAUCAGUCUCACACAGAGGUACAAUCCUAAACUAAGCUUCCAUGAAAAAUCUUUCGUCCUUGAUUUCUUGUCAUCUAAGGAUGUCCAAGAUUUUGGACACAAUGAUAACUUGAUCCUUCUUUGGCUCAAAAAAAUUAUUAAGAUCUCUACUCAAGAGACACUGGUUUUCCAAGUGGCGUAUACAUCCUUCAAAUUUAAACACAUAAGUAUGAUCGUCUAUUAAGGUCAUGUCGUUUGGAAUCAAGAUGGUCUUUCUAAUGGGUUCCAACAUGUGUGGGGUAUUGGUUCAUCUUAGUUUAAUGCGCUAACUUGCGGAAUUUGGUUUCGCUCUACACUAGUUGACUAAGAGUGAGGUUUAUUUGAAGUGGAUUGGUGACCCACAGACAAAUUAGACUGGGGAAGUUGGGGACAGUGACCAUCCAAUGGCCAAUUACAUUCGCCAGAGUACCCCAAGAAAUAGUUUGGUUAAGGAACGACUGCAGCCCGAAUAAUCGUCUUUUAAGUUUAAAAAAAAUCAUUUGAUGGAAUAGGUUAUAUGCACGCAAUGACAAUUGAUAUCAUAAUUUUUUAAUAAGUAGGUAAAUAUAAGGUAAAACAAAUCCAACAAAGAUUAAAAAAAGUCAAACAGCGUUAAGUCAUUAUGGUUAGGACUUAAUUAAUUCCCUAGUGGAGCAGUCAUUUUUGUUAUAUCGAUAAUGAGAAAUAAAACACUUGUUUUCACACAAAAAACAAUUUAACUUUUUAAGGAAAAUCAAUUUUUUUUAAAAUAGAGCGGCUACUAAAUUUUUUAGGAAAAUCAAGAAAACUUAUAAUUUUCAAAAGACUUAAGUAGAAAAAUCAUUUGAAAAUAUCAAAAGAGAGUUCGUGGUUCAAUUUACACAUCAAGAAGGUGUUAGGCCCUUAAAGUGUCCGCUAAUGCACAGUUGACAUGCGACUUGACUAAAUAUUCUACUACCAUUGAAAAGAAUUACUUAAAGGAAAUAUUAAUUAUUUAAAAGAAAUUUAAGAAAAUAUUUUAGAAAGGAAAGUAAUUUUUUUUUAAAAGUGACAAAGUAAAGAAAGUUAAUUAAAUAAGAUUAAUUAAAUGAAAAAUUAUCAUAAUCAAAAGUAGUUCAUCUUUAGAAGAUUUAAUUAAAUUAACCAAAACAAACAUAGUUAAGCAAAAAAGUUAUAAUCAAAAAGAAUAAUAAGGGGAAACAAAAAUCAUAAGGUUGGGCACUUGCCCAAAUUUCAAUUUGUUGGGCUGGGAGGCGUAAUUUCCUUCAUCCUGUCCUAAUUCUAAGUAAUUCAAUCUUUUAAGACUAUUUAUUACAUUUUGUUUUGGGGUUGACCUAAUUUUCGUUGUAUCAUUGUGCAUACAACUAGUGUAUACAACAUAUAUCCUGCAAAUCAAACACAAAUUUAUUGUAUACAUCAGUUAUUUGUAU
rnacentral:lncRNA from 1 species